CAUGGAGGACAUUACAGUUGAUGGAUAUCACAUACCCAAAAAAUCAAGAGUCUUUAUCAAUAUUUGGACCAUUGGGAGGGAUCCAAGUGUAUGGUCAGAUAAUGUGGAAGAAUUCUACCCUGAAAGGUUUAUGAAUAGUAACGUUGACCUACGUGGACAUGACUUCCAGCUCAUACCAUUUGGGUCUGGUCGAAGACGGUGCCCUGCUAUGCAAUUAGGGUUAACCACAGUUCGUCUUGCUCUGGGAAACUUGUUGCACUGCUUCAACUGGGAGCUCCCUAGUGGAAUGCUACCUAAAGACUUGGACAUGACUGAGAAAUUCCGCUUAUCGUUGUCGAAAGCCAAACACUUGCUUGCCAUGCCGACGUGCCGCCUGUACAAUCGACCUUAAUAUCUAUAGUACGUCUAGGCAUAAAUUGGAUUAAUGCAAAUAUCUUGUAGCUCAGUUGAUUAAGAAUAUUAUUCCUUGCCUUUGAGGUAGUUUGUUCGAUUUCCCUCUUGUAAAAAAUAAUUUGCUUGUCAUAAUGCCCACCUAUGUACCGCCUACACGGUCAACCUUCACAAAGGGUUGAAAUAAAUGUUUUGUAGUUAUAAUAGUGUUUCUUUGAGUAAUGCUAGGGAGACUGUUAAAUUUGUAGACUAAACUUACAAACUAAAUAAUAUGUUACAAAUAAGAAAUGAACACGUUUAUCAACAAUUAAAUGAUAAUCCAAUUAUCAACUUUCAUGUCAUUUAAUUUACAAAAUUUAAUCUCCCUAGCAUUACUCGUGUUCCUUUUAUGCCACCUCUGACUAGGAAAGAUUAAAGUAGUUACAUCGUAAAAGUAUUAACCAUAAUACGUUUUUCAUUCUCUUAAUUAAUGUUUAAAAUUAUCUUACAAAAAGCUAAUACAAUUGGAGCUGGUUUAGAUUAAUAUUUCAAUAAUUGCGCCCUUUUUACUUACAUAUCUAAGUUUAUCACUUUAUGUGUACUAGUUUGUUUUGUUUUUGGGUUUUGCACUUAGGUUUCAUUCAUUCGUUCAUUAUUUAUUUCUUUCCUUCUUUCCUCAUUCUUCUUUUUUUUUUCCCAUUUAUAUUUUCUCCACAUCUCAAACACAAAAUGUAAAAACUAAAAAUCAAAUAGCCAUCAGACGAAUUCUUAAAUUUUACUCUCUUAAAAUAUACUUUUUCUCUGGAACUCUCUCAUGUAGCACUCAUCUCGCUAUUUUUUCUUCUUAUAAUACAAUGAUAUGUUUACACCAAAGGAGACAAUAAACCGGUAUCAAACUUGUCAUUCAUAAGAUUCGAAUCUAAAACCACUCACUUACAAGUGAAGGGUAUUAAGGGUACAAGUGUAAUACGGUUAGAAAUAUAGUUAGUAAUAUAGUUAGUAAGGUUGUUAGUAUUUGGUUAAAAGUAGUUAGGAUUUAUCUUAUAAAAACAGUGUGUAAUCUUCAUUUUAGUCAGUUAAUCCAAAUCCUAUUUCUCUCUCUAAACUAUCUAUGUCGCUCUCUAAGAUCUCUGUGUUCAUUCUUCUUCAUCUUCCUUCUUAAUUUUCCUUUCAAUUCUCAAACAUUGCAAUGUAGUUAACAUGGUAUCAGAGCCACCAGGCUCACGCCAUAGAUUCUGGUGGUUCCACUUCCCAUUAUUUUUCAUAUGUUUCUAGCUUAGUUCUUUCCAAAUUUUCAUUAGAUGUUUGAAUAAAUUUCUGGGUGCUUCCGCGAUCGUUGUUUUACUUAUGGGUUGAUUUUUCUGGAUUGUGAUUAGAGAUUUCUCUACUGAACGUGAUUGAUUUUCACCGAUCUUUACUUCUCAUCGAUUUUGGGGAUUGAAUUUCUUGUUCUGAUGCAGAGUCGGCAAGUAAGUACCCUGAGUCAUGUUCACAAGGUGUUCGAAGGAAGACCUGAGAGAAGAAGUGUGGUACCCGAAUUUGUUUCUUGACGAACCGAUUUCAAUUCACGAUGUUCUUGGCCCGUCCUCUGCUUUGGUUCCGAGCGAUGUUAAUCAGGGUUGGGAUAUUAUCUUAUCGCCGGCCUGCGAUUCCAAUUCCAACAUGGUUUUUGAUGUUUCUGAUGCCAAGAACAUGGUCGAUUGGUCCCGGAUCAUCCUAUUGCUGGGCUCGAAAGGGUUCGUUUCUUUCGUUGUCGGGCUGAACCCUAUUCUUGAUCGUUGUUCAGGCAUUUCUUGUGCUGCAAUGGCUUCUUGGGCUUGCAGGGCACCGUAUAAGGCUGCAGGUUCUUGAAAGCUUGUGAAUUGUGGGAGAUUAUAAGGGUUUGAAGUCUGUGACAAUGGAUACGCUUCAAGCUCCAAGCUUGGUGGAAGAAAGAUUGUGAGAUUCCAUAUUCUGCCUUAGAUUGAUGAGAGACUUCUGGUUUUCUCUCUCAGCAUUCUUGGGUCAAGAUUGAAGUUCUUAUCAGGUUCUUGAUUUCUGGGUUUUCACAGUGCACAUAAUCUGUUUGAUUAAAUGUUUCAGUAAGAAAAUGUUCACUAUUUUGUUCAUCUUUGUUGUGAAUCUCUUCUGGGAUAUUAGUGUAAUAUUUGGGAUAUUUAGAUUCAAGAAUAUUGAUCGUCGUGGUUAGUUUGAGUUUUCUUUGGGUAUUCAAUAAGGUGAAUUGUAGUGAUUUGUGGCUUGGUGCGAUGGGUUUUGAAGAUGGGUUAUGUUUGCAGCUUAUUUUAUGUAUCAAGUAUCUUAGGUUUUGAAGAUGAGUUUGUUAGCAUUGUUUCCGGUUUUUGUGAGUGGAUGAUGUUGUUGCCUGUGUAGAGGAUGAAAGUACUGGCUAUAUAUUACCAAACAAAUGGAUCUGAACCCCUGUUACCUGGUCAGUUUGUCAGCAAUUUGACUGAUGGUGAUGUAUCUGUAGUUUCACCCAAUCUUAGCAGUAUAAAAUGGAGUAUAAGAGGAUUGCAUUUAGUGCCUCUGAACUUGUAAGAAAUGGACAAGGAAACUCUCUUGAAACUGGCAGUCUCAUUUCAGUGAAUCUUGGCAGAUCAGUGUGCCAGGGCAAAGCAGCGAAGCAAGCAGCAAUGCCUGUUUAUUAGAUUCAGCAAAGGUUACUGGAGUGAGUGUUCAGGUGCUAACUGAGGAGUUGUGCAGUAUAUUUCUUAUCACAGCCUGUAAUUUCAGAGUCUAACCAACUCAGUUGUUAGCAUGAAUCUACAGUAAGUCCGGUUAUACAAUAAAGUUUGAAGAAGUUGUAAACGGUAAAUCCCAUGAAGGGUAAUUCCAUGAUAUGAAUAUGUAAAUCCCACAAAGGGUAGAAGAAGUUAACGGUAAAUCCCACGAAGGGUAAUCCCGUGUUUUGAGUAGGUAAAUCCCACGAAGGGUAAUCCUACAUAGAUGUUGAUUUUCAAUUGUUGAAAUUGUGAAGGCCGAUGCCAUUGUUCAAAGAAGUUGUUUUUUGGUAAAAUCCAUAAAGGGCGAUCCCGUGGUUCUAUAGUUAAGGCCAAUACCACACUAUAGUUUGUUAAUUUUCUGUUUUUGUAAAUAUUAAAGGCCUAAGCCAAGUUGAAUGAGAUUGUUGACGGUGAAUCCCACGAAGGGUAAUCCCGUAAGAAGUUGUUAUACCGGCAUGAGGGUGUGCUAUAACUACUUUAUAGAAGGUUGUUCUUGUGUAAAACUCCUGAUAGAGGCAGAGGAAUACAGGGUGUCUUUAUUUGUAAGGCAAUGGAAGAAAUUUGGACUGACAAACAGAGGUUUUUGGUCAACAGCUACAAAGAGGUCAUGGGGUACACUUGUUUGAUUCAGGGCUCUGGGAAAGCUAUAAGCUUUGGUGAUAUGAUUUGAGUAUAUGCGCUUACUCUCUGUCGUAUGGCCGUACAUCUGCUUCAAGUUGUAAGAGAUUCAUUUGGAAAUAAACCAAUGGAUGAAUCUUAUGCCAAGUCUUUUGAGCAUGCUUAUCAAAUGCUAACCGAACUACAUGCACAAUUAGUUCUAUCCCUUUUAUCCAAUAAUCCAGUUUUGCAUAAUUGUUUUGUAGUGGAGAUGGUUGUUUGGCUCGUUUUCUGCAUGGCUUGCUGUUGAAGUGUUUUUGAAGUUAGUAUUCACUGUGAUGAUGUUUGAAUAGUUGCCUUCUAUCAGAUAGUGUUAGAGAAUCUAUCUGUUGAUCAAUGGAAGAAAGAUCGUUAUUUCAAAAACCUGUGUGAGAGCAGGUCUAGUUUUUCCAGCAGAGUGAAGGAUAAUCAGGUCUUGUCUUUCUUGUUUGCAGCAGGCUAAUCCAAAGUGUUGACUCUAGUUAAAGUGCUACAUGUGGACAGAUGUUUGGGUAUCAAUCCAAUGGUGGUUUUCCUAAAUCUACAGUUUCAGUGCUACCAUGUCUCAAUUCUUCCAAUCUCAAACUGAGUUUCCCCAGUUGAGAUUGAGGGGAAGUAUUAAGGGUACAAGUGUAAUACAGUUAGAAAUAUAGUUAGUAAGGUUGUUAGUAUUUGGUUAAAAGUAGUUAGGAUUUAUCUUAUAAAAACAGUGUGUAAUCUUCAUUUUAGUCAGUUAAUCCAAAUCAUAUUUCUCUCUCUAAACUAUCUAUGUUGCUCUCUAAGAUCUCUGUGUUCAUUCUUCUUCAUCUUCCUUCUUAAUUUUCCUUUCAAUUCUCAAACAUUGCAAUGUAGUUAAUAAAGGGUAGUAAAGGAGAAUAUUGUGGUAGCAAAAAUAUGUCGUUUUCUGCCUAGACGAAUUUUUACCUACAAAACAAAUAAACACAUGUGAUCAAAGACAAAGCCCCGCGCCCAAAGAGUGAAGGUGGGGGGUGUUUGGCCAAUGAAUCUUCAAUGUCUAAGUCAGUUUCUCUGAAAAGAGAGAGGUUUAGGGCUUAAUUGUGUAGCAAAAGUUUACUAAAAUUUGGUGGAGAAUGGGGUAUUUAUAGGAGCUAGGGUCACCAUGGAGGAGAGAGAUCUCGUGCUAUGUAUCGUCAUCCAGUUGGCUAAGGUGUGUCAUUCGUUGGAUGGAGUAGGUAAAGAAUUAUCCCAAUGAUAUUAUUGAAUAAAUAAUAUCUUAGAAUUAUCUUGUGGGUCCCUGAUUGGAUUUGAUGAAAAUUUCUUGCUUGAUUAUGUAUUGUAGUCAAAUCUCAUAUUUGCACUCGAAUAUAUCAAUGUUACGCAAGUGCAAUUAAGAUAUUUGCCCUAGUUUCAUAUAAUCUGUUAGGCACUGAUAGGAACAUAUUUAUGCGACUUAGUUAGCUUGUUCUUGUGCAUUUGUGUUGUUAUUUCUUAGUUAAUUAUGUAUUUUAAGCUAUUUUCGUGUGUUUGUAGGUCAUAAUAGCAAAGUUGGCAAGAAAGUGCAUUUUGGAGCAUUUUAGAGCAUUUUUGAGCCAAGAUUGGAUAGUGCAAGCAUGGAGACAUGAGGAUGGACGUUUGUGAAGAUUUGAAGGCUAGAAAUUAGCAUGUGUGUGUGCAAGUGUGUUGACCUACAACUCCAAACAUCCAUCCACUACACCCAUUACAUCCACUCAUUACCAAACAUCCACCCACUACACCCAUUACAUCCACUCAUUACCACAACACUCACCCACUACACCCAUUACAUCCACUCAUUACCAAACACUCACCCACUACCCAUUACAUCCACUCAUUACCAAACACUCACCCACUACACCCAAUACAUCCACUCAUUACCAAACACUCAUCCACUACACCCAUUACAUCCACUCAUUAUCAAACAUUUACCCACUACACCCAUUACAUCCACUCAUUACCACAACACUCACCUACUACACCCAUUACAUCCACUCAUUACCAAACACUCACCCACUACCCAUUACAUCCACUCAUUACCAAACACUCACCCACUACACCCAAUACAUCCACUCAUUACCAAACACUCAUCCACUACACCCAUUACAUCCACUCAUUAUCAAACAUUUACCCACUACACCCAUUACAUCCACUCAUUACCACAACACUCACCUACUACACCCAUUACAUCCACUCAUUACCACAACACUCACCCACUACACCCAUUACAUCCACUCAUUACAACUCCAUACACUCCUCUCCCUAGCCUAUAAAUACAUCCACCCUUCACCAUAAUUAGGGGGCCAUCAUCCAAAGACACCACAUCAUGUACACAACUCUCCACCCUUCACCAUAACUCACCUAUAUCCAUCCACCACCACAAGAGACCAUCCAUUCACCACUCACACCUUGGUGCUGCAUAUUUGCAAGGAAAGAGGAUUGCUUGGAGUUGUGCUAGUCAUUCAAUUUGGAUUGCUGGAGCAUUCUAGGUGUAUUCUACUUUGGUUUUCAAUGUUUAAUUUCAAUUGCUUCUGUUUAAUUGCAAGUAUGAGGAACUAAACCUCUUUUGGCUAGAGGAGAAUUCGAAACCAUGAAUAUAUUUGCAAUAUGAAUUUAUUACUUCUAAUUGUGAUUUGAUAAGUUGUGAUUGCAAUUCAAUUAUCUAUUUUAUUCAUAACGGAUUUGUGUAUGUUUAUUAAGGAUGCAUACUUAGUUUUCAUGCAUGAAUUUGAUGCUAGGAUAUAAAUAAGUUUCACCUAAUCGUUACAAGUUUAUAUUCAUGAGUAGUGAAGGUUGCUUGUCACAAUCGCGUUAAUUGAAUUCUUGGCAAACGUAUCAUGCAUUCAUAGUUACAAUUGCCUCGUCAAUGCUUAUGAUUUUCAUGGAACGUAAUGAUCUUUAAUUGUCGCAUGCAUUCAUCCAAUUCAAUGAGUAAAGGAAAAUCUGAGGGUUAAUUUGUGCAUCACGGUUAAUCUGGGGUGUUGAGCAUCAUAGUUUAUUGAAAAGCAAUUGGAGAUUGAUUUGUAUGCAAGUGUGUCAUGUGUGGAGAAAGACCUUCUAGCUAGCCCAUCAUCCAUCCAAAACAACCAAUUUCGUGCAAAUCUGUUUAGUUCUAGUUUCUGUUUUGUUUUACUUUAUUUUCGUCCAAAACCCAAUCCCCAUUUACUUUAGUGUGUCUAAUUAGUUAAAAUCUGUUUUAGUUUGUGUUUUUAAGUGUUUUGAGUCUAUAAAGUGUAGUUAAGUGUUUUUAAGUUUCUUUUUGUAAGUCAGUUUAGUUUAGAUUAGCAAUCCCUCCUAAUCCCCGGUCCAGAACGAUCCCUACUUAUACAUAUACUACAAUUGUCAAAAGAGGGUUUAAUUUGAGUGCUUAACUUUCAUCGCAUCAGGCACAUUCUUUAAUUAGCUUUGGCAAAAUUCUACGAAAAUUUACGAAACCACUAUUUUCAAAGAAUUUUUUUCCACACAACAAGCUUUUUAAAAUUCUUGCUAGACAAUGUAAAGAAGUCUGGAAAUGAUAGUAAGGCCACUUUCAAAGGGCAUUAUGUUUUCCUUAUUACUGGUGUUGAUGCACAAAAUCAGUGAGGACUUUGGUACAACAGAAAAUGUCAAGUUUGUGACCUUCACUAGAUUGCUCCGGUCACUAGUGUGGAUAAAUAUGUAAAUGGAUAGAGACAGGGAAGUAAACACAAGAUGUACGUGGUUCACUUAGAUUGGCUACGUCCAUGGAGUAGAGGAGUUCUCAUUAAUUGUGAAGGGUUUACACAAGUACAUAGGUUCAAGCUCUCCUUUAGUGAGUACUCGUGAAUGAUUUAGUACAAAUGACAUUAGGAAAUAUUGUGGGAGAAUGAUCUCCUUUUAUAGAAGAGAGUUUCUAGCUUUAUUCUGACAUUGACACGUGUCGUGUUGUGAUUGGCUUCCGAUGUUGACACGUGUCGCGUUAUGAUUGGCUUCUGAUGUCGACACGUGUCGCACUGUGAUUGGCCUCCUGGUUUGAGGGAAACUAUUCUGGGUCCUUGAUGGUAUAACGUUGAUCAGUGCUCGGUAGUUUCGGGAUUGGUCAAGUAUGGUACAAACAGUGCUCCCUUAAGUUCCCGAGUGAGGGAAGCUCCUCGGUUAGGGACUUGCAAGAUCCAAGCCAUUGAGUAAUCACGAAACUUCUAAGUACCGAAGUGUGGUAUCGUCUUCACUUGCCUUAUUUGUCUUAUAGGUAGAUGUGGCAUCUUCUCCGGAAGUACUUUUCCUCCAUCCAGAUGUGGUAUCUUUAACCGGUGGAGAUGCACUAGGUAAUGUAUCAAUUUGACUUGAAGCUUACUUGUAAUUUCAAGCUUGGUCAAGCGCGAUACAAACCAUGUAGUAGGAGUCCCCCAAGUCGCCGAGCUAGGAGAUUUGCCUAAAGAGGUGACAUACAAGGUAAGCAAUCAGAGUUCCAAGCAAUCAGAAGUUUGAUUUCGAGUUCCGGCUGAUUGUUCUCAUUCUCCCUAUCUUGCAGGCAUGAAGAAGGAUAAAGAGAAGAAAAAUGAGAAGAUAUGAUAUGAGAUACUUUUGCUUUUGAAGAAGUAACUUUCCACAGGCUUAUUCUUGAACUGGGCUGGAUGGUGGUUUCCUUAAGAGUAUAAGGCCGACUCAAGAAUUUGAGGGUCAAAAUAAGUCUAUCAAAUCUAGAGUACAUUCGACCCUGAUGAUAUGGGGUACUUUUGUUGUUGACAAAGUAGUGGAUGUAUCGGCAUGUGUUCUGUUAUGCUUGUCUCCACAUGCUUCCUUGUAUCCUUCUCACUUGCCCUAUCUGUUCCUUAGGCAGAUAUGGUAUCUUUUUUGGAAGCAUAAGAUGUUGAAGAUGAGUACUCGAGAGCAAUGCCAGAUAAGUAAUCAAGCAAGGGGUUCCAGGCAGUCAGUUCCUGACUGGAAGCUUGAUUCCAAGUGUUAACUGAUUGCUCUAUUUCUCCUUGUCUUGCAGGUAAGAACAAGGGCAAAGGAAAAUACAGGGAAAAAGCAUGAUAUAAGAUACUCUUGCUUUUGACCCUGAUGAUAUGAGAUACUCUUGCUCUGGUGUGGUUGGUUUGCAUAAGUAUUAUUGGGGGGAAGAAAGCUGAGUAUUUCUAGAGGCUUUGUUGAGAGUGCCUUAUCAGAUAUGAGGAAGGGUUGAGCAUUUUUGUAGGUCUGCCUGUCCGUGGAGGAUGGAAGUCGACAUAUAUAGAAGUCUCCCUAAUAACAAGUAGUAAUGAUAUUCCUUUACCCUUCUUGGUCAUAGCAAUGUAGUGGAAGCUGCAAGCUUCACGUGUUUUAACUUUGUCAAAGCACUUUGAAAAAGUGGUCCGUGGUAUCUGGAAAGCUGAUGUUGCGUGUGAAAAUUGCAGACAAAUUUUAUCCAAGGAAAUCUGGCUCUCGAAGUUCGGAUAACAGUGCUUCUUCGGUUUUUGAAUAAGCAAUCCUGUUGGGAAUCUGGCUCUCAAGAUUCGGAGAGCGUUGCCUCUUCGAUUUUUGAACAAGCAAUCCUAUUGGGGAUCUUGCUCUCGAGAUUUAGAGAGCGAUGCCUCUUCGAUUUUUUAGAAAGCGAUCCUGGUAGGAGUCUGGCUCUCAAGAUUCGAAUAGCGGUGCCUCUUCAAUUUUUGAGAAAGUAAUCCUGGUGGGAGUCUGGCUCUCGAGAUUCAGAUGGCGGUGCCUCUUCGAUUUUUGAGAAAGCAAUCCUGGUGAGAGUCUGGCUCUCGAGAUUCGGGGAGCGGUGCCUCUUUGAUUUUUGAGAAAGUAAUCUUGUUGGGAGUGUUUUCUCGAUGUGAGUAAAGGUUGGGCAUUUUUGCCAGUCUGCCUUGCCACGGAGCACGAAGGUUGACACACAUAGGGACUUUCCAGUUAUCAAGCAGUGGUGCUGUUCCUUUACCCUUGUGGGUAAUGGUAGGGUAGCUGAACUUUCAAAAUUUAUGUGUCUAAACUUUGUCAGAGAUCUUUGGCAAAGUCAUAUGUGGUACACGAGGAGCUGAUGUUGCAUGUGAGGAUUAUAGACAUAUUUUACUCAGGAAAAUCUGCUUCUCGAAAUCCGAAGAGUGGUGCCUCUUUGAUUUUUGAACAAACGGCCUUGCUGCCCUUUCUUUUAUAGGGGCACCAAUUGUGUGCAAGAAGUACGUUCAGAGAGUUAUUGCUUGUAGGAAUUUUCCCCUUAUUUUCGUACUUCAGAGAUUUAUUGGACCUCAUUUCUCCUUCAUCAUUUCUGAAAAUGUCUGGCCCAUCCGACCGUCGUUGUGACUUGAACUUUGGUGAAGAGGCAGCCAUGCCUUCUCAAGACAACAUAUGGCCACCAUCCUUCUUAUCCCCUACCGGUCCUCUUACCGUUGGGGACUAUGUGAUGAAGAAUGAUAUGAUCGCUGCGGUGGUGGCUAGGAACCUUCUCACUCCCAAAGAUAACAGACUAUUUUCCAAACGAUCUGAUGAGUUGGCUGUUAAGGAUUCUCUGGCUUUUAGUGUUCAGUGUGCAGGUUUUGUGUCUAAUAUGGCCCAACGCCUAUUUGCUAGAACCCGUCAAGUUGAAUCAUUGGCGGCUGAAGUGAUAAGUCUCAAACAGAAGAUUAGAAAGCUCAAGCAUGAGAAUAAACAGUUGCACAGGCUCACACAUGACUAUGCUACAAACAUGAAGAGGAAGCUUGACCAGAUGCAGGAAUUUGAUGGUCAGAUUUUACUUGAUCAUAAGAGGUUUAUGGGUUUGUUCCAAAGACAUUUAUUGCCUUCUUUUUCUGAAGCUGUACCGCGUAAUGAAGCUCCAAAUGAUCAACCUCCGAUGCCUCCUCCUUCUGGGGUUCUGUCCAGCACUGAGGCACCGAAUGAUCACUCUCUGGUGCCUUCUCUUUCUGGGGCUCUGCCGACUGCUGAGACUUCUCCUGGGCAACCUUUGUGAAGGCUCCCUCUUGUUUGUUUAUUUUGAUUCAUGUAUAUGUACAUAUUUGUAACUUAUCGGAGAUAUCAAUAAAUAAGAUUUGCUUCAUUUCAACGUAUUGUGUUAAAUACACCAAAGCCUUCUUCACUAAGUUCUUUGAAGUUUUUUCUUUUGUUGAAGCUUGUAUGUUGAAGCUUUGUGAGUGAAGCAUGUAUGUUGAGGUAGUGCUCCCUUAAUUUCCCGAGUGAGGAAAACUUCUCGGUUGGAGACUUGAAAAAUCCAAGUCACUGAGUGGUCGUGAGACUUCCGAGUAUCAAGGUGCAGUAGUAUAUGGUAGGAGUCUCCCAAGUCUUCGAUCGAGAGAGUUAACGAAUGAGGCAUUUCCUUUCUAAGUAAUAGCCCAAAACUCCUCCUUCAUAUAUAUUUGUUAUGAAAGUUGUUAGGACCAAAGAAGAGGAGGCCUAGGCAAUUUUUUUUUUUUUUUGAAUUUUCGAAUUUUCGAAAAUAUAUAUAUAAGCUUUGUAGGUGAAGCUUUAAGGUUGAAGCUUUGUUGGGUACCAUGAAUUGAUUUUGCUUCACAUUAUCUUGAUCAAGAGUGUGUGAAGCUUUUGUAGGUGAAGCUUUUGUGUUGAAGCUUUGUAGGUGAAGCUUUUGUGGGUGAAGCUUUGUAGGUGAAGCUUUUGUGGGUGAAGCUUUUGUAGGUGAAGCUUUUGUGGGUGAAGCUUGUGUGGGUGAAGCUUUUGUAGGUGAGGCUUUUGUGGGUGAAGCUUUGGUGUUGAAGCUUUUGUAAGUGAAGCUUUUGUAGGUGAAACUUUUGUGGGUGAAGCUUGUGUGGGUGAGCUUUUGUAGGUGAAGCUUUGUUGGGUACCAUGAAUUGAUUUUGCUUCACACUAUCUUGAUCAAGAUAGUGUGAAGCUUUUGAGAAUUUGUAGUUGCCCUCCAUUUGUUGAAGCUUUUGUUGGUGAAGCUUUGUAGGUGAAGCUUUUGUUGGGUACCAUGAAUUGAUUUUGCUUCACACUAUCUUGAUCAAGAGUGUGUGAAGCUUUUGAGAAUUGUAGUUGCCCUCCAUUUGUUGAAGUUGUUGAAUUUCCCAAUUUCCCUUCUUAUUUUUUUUUUUUUUGGGAAAAUUUGAAAUUUGAAAAUGUGGGAGAGACAACAUAUACAAAUUUUGCUUCCACACUAUUGAGCAAGAGAUUGUGAUGCAAGCCACACCUUGUAGUAGUCGAAGGUUUGGAUGAACCAUAUAAAUUGAAUUUGCUUCAAACAGUCUUGAUCAAGAUUGUGUGAAGCUUUCUACGAGUUGUAGUUGCCCUUCAUUGAUGAAGCUUUUGUUGGCACCAUAAAUUGGUUUUGCUUCACACUGUCUUGAUCAAGAGUGUGUGAAGCUUUUGAGAAUUGUGGUUGCCCUCCAUUGAUGAAGCUCUUGUUGGCACCAUAAAUUGGUUUUGCUUCAUAUUGUCUUGAUCAAGAGUGUGUGAAGCUUUUGAGAAGCUUUUGAGAAUUGUGGUUGCCCUCCAUUGAUGAAGCUCUUGUUGGCACCAUAAAUUGGUUUUGCUUCACACUGUCUUGAUCAAGAGUCCUUUGAUGAAGCUCUUGUUACCAUAAAUUGGUUUUGCUUCACAUUGUCUUGAUCAAGAGUGUGUGAAGCUUUUGAGAAUUGUGGUUGAACUCCUUUGAUGAAGCUCUUGUUGGCACCAUAAAUUGGUUUUGUUUCACACUGUCUUGAUCAAGAGUGUGUGAAGCUUUUGAGAAUUGUGGUUGCCCUCUAUUGAUGAAGCUCUUGUUGUCAAAACGCUUUUAAUGAUCGAGUUGGAGGCAGAUUGUCUGCCCUCCCAUUACCAUGCCCUUCCCAUCCCCUCCUACAUUGUGUGGUCACGGUUAAGCCACAUCAACAUUUUAUAUUGAUUUUUUUAUAGAGAUAAUAAGCUAUGUUGACGUGGCUUAACCGUGACCGCACAAAUAGGAGGGGAUGGGAAGGGCAUGGUAAAAGAAGGGCAGACAAUUUGCCUCCGAUCGAGUUAGCAACAAAUACACUUUGAUUGAGUCGUGGUCCCGUGAUGUUGUGGAUGGUUGGAAACUUGGGAUGAGGGUGCCUUACUUUGUCGUUGUGGAGAUGAGUCAACCGUGGUUUCCUUCUUGGCUUAGUUAUUAUUGUGUAUGUUUGUGUCGCAUAGCAGUUUGUGUGGUCUUACUUUUAAGCAACGGCUCUGUGUGAUCCUCGGAUACGUCACUACUGAUCUUUGCAAUUUAAUUAAUUGUUUGCAAUGAAGAAUCAAUAGCGAUUUUAAGAGAGACUACCACGCUCCAUGAUUAGUGCCUAUCAUCUCUAGGCAAAUUCUGACCUUAACUCUUUGUCAUGAUCUCUCUCUACAUAGUUAUUUGAAAAAAAAUUAAUUCUAACUAUAACAUUUGUAUGGAGAAAAUAAAUCAAUCAUCACUAAAUAAAUAAGAAUGUGGACAACAUGUAUUUUCUCCAAUUGUUUAAAUGAUUUAAUAACAAGAACGAAACCGUUUGCAUUUUGUAUUAUAUGCCAAAAGUUGCAUUUUAAGAAAAACCCGGUACCUUAAUAACUCCAUAAGAUAACUCAUUAGAAACAAUGUUACCUACAUUUUAUUCUUCUUUUUUUUUAUAUGAAAUAAAUAGCAAUAUUGGGUUUAUUAUUGAAAAAAAUUAUAUAUACAUAAUAACAAAAUCAUUUAUAUUGAUAAAAUACAUGUAAGUAUUGUAAUCAUAUCUCAUAUUUACACUCAAGUAUAUCAAUGUUACAUAGGUGCAAUAUAAGAUAUUUACCCAAGUUUCAUCGAAAAUGUUACGCACAUGCUUUAAUUAGUUUUGGCAAAAUUCUACGAAAAUUUUACUGUAAACACGGAAAUUCCUGAAACGAAAGAGACAAGAACACGUGUACAAAAUAAUAUUUGUAUUAAUGAUUUAGGGGUUACAAUCUCUUCUACAAAUUUAUCCUCUGAUUCUAUCUUUGAAACGUGUAGAUGUAGUGUUGUUGAUCCAAGGGCCGUCGAGGCUUGAUCUUGGACGAACAGUUGAUGAAUGAUGAACACCUUCUUCAAGGGCCGUCGGGGCUUGAUCUUGAAUGGGUGGAAGUUCUUCAAGGGGCGUUGGAGCUUGAUCUUGAAGGAGGAUUUCACGAAGAACAGAUAGGGCUUUCUUGAUCCUUCGGGAUUUGCUUGAGAGCUUCAGAGUUUCGAGGCUUCAAGGCUUUGGUGUGGUGUGAUUUCUCUUCCAAUUUGGGAGUAGAGAAAGUGUAUCUAAAAUCCUCCCUUGAUUCUUUGAUGGAGGAGCCUAUUUAUAGGCUUUGGGAAUGAACCACCACCAUCCAUUUGUUUUGGUGGAUGUUGUAGGUGAAUUGGUGGAUUGUUGUAGGUGAAUUUGGGUGGAGGUUGUAGGUGAAUUUGGAUGGAUUGUUGUAGGUGAAUUUGGGUGUAUGUUGUAGGUGAAUUUGGGUAGGUGAAUUUGGGUGGAGGUUGUAGGUGAAUUUGGAUGGAUUGUUGUAGGUGAAUUUGGGUGUAUGUUGUAGGUGAAUUUGGGUAGGUGAAUUUGGGUGGAGGUUGUAGGUGAAUUUGGAUGGAUUGUUGUAGGUGAAUUUGGGUGUAUGUUGUAGGUGAAUUUGGGUGAAGGUUGUAGGUGAAUUUGGGUGAAGGUUGUAGGUGAAUUUGGAUGGAUUGUUGUAGGUGAAUUUGGGUGUAUGUUGUAGGUGAAUUUGGGUGAAGGUUGUAGUUUUAAUGCAAUGGUCAACAUUUAUUUCACUAAAAUUUCAAUGUUUACAAAUGUAAUUUUAAUGUGAUGGCUAACAUUUAUUUCAACGAAAUUUCAAUGUCUACAAAUGCCCCCACUUCAAGGCGCGUAGUAUACAUGUGCUUGCCACGUGUAGAAGAUGCGUUUUGAAGUCCCUUAAUGUAGAUGUCGAUCCAAGGGCCGUUGAGGCUUGAUCUUGAACUGGUCUGGGAGUUUCUUCAAGUGCCGUUAAGGCUUGUUCUUGAAUUUUGUUUGAAAUUUCUUCAAGGGCCGUUGAGGCUUGAUCUUGGAUGAAAUUGGACCACAAGGAGCCUCACGUAGUAGACGAUCCUUGGCUUUGAUAAUGGAUGAAUCGGCACGUAUUUUGUUGUGCUUGUUGACUUUCCACAGCUUUGAUCUUGAACUAGGCUGGAGGAGUUUUCUGGUUUCCUCCAACGGACUUUCCACAGACUUAAUCUUGAACUGGAUUUGACUCAAGGGUGGUGGACACUUGAUCUUGAGUCAGGGUCGUUGAGGCUUGAUUUCGAACUUAAACAUGACCACGAGCAGUUUCAGGACAUGCAUGCUUUGAAAGAUCAAGGAAGUUCGCAGCAUUUUCAUAUGAACCCUGAGCAGUUUGGUCAACAGUAUGAUCUUCAAGAUUGAUGGGCUCUUCUUCCAGUUGGUGACUUGAUCUUUAAGGAUUAUCGAGGCUUUGCUCUUCGGUGACGGUGCCAGCGAAGGGUUGUUAAAGCUUCUCGAGCCUUUUGGUUAGAGCAACGCUGUCCAGCUUGGAUCUUUACUUGAACUCAUCCGUCUGGAUUGUGGUGGUUAUGCAGGGAAGGGCUUCAUGCUUCAUGAUUUAUUCCAGCUCGUUGUAUUGCAUUCUUCUCUGCUUGUUUCUUUUGCGUAGCUGAAGCGGUGUGCAACCUUUUGCCUUUAAAUGGUUCUUCGGAGCACAAUCUCUCAGCGACUCACCCAUGCUUGGCAGCUUCAGUGCAAAGCGCCGAUGUUAACAGAUCCACACUCCUGAAGCAUUUGCUGAGGGGAUUCGAGACAUAUCAGCAGUUGAAGAUGAGCACUCGAGAGCAACGCUAGGUAAGUAACCAGGCAAAGGUUCCGGGCAAUCAGUUCCUGGUCGGACAUUUAAUUUCAGGUUCCGACUGAUUGCAUCCUUUCUCCUUGUUCAGCAGGCAAGAGCAAGGGCAAAGGAGAAGAUGGGGGAAGAGCAUGAUAUGAGAUACCUUUGCUUUCGACCCCAGUGAUAUGAGAUACUUUUGCUUUUGAAGAAGUAGCGGACGAUCAGCACAUGCAUUCGUCGUGCUUGUCUCCAUAUGCUUCGAUGCAUCAUCUUCAUCUGCAUCAUCUUCACCUGCAUCAUCAGGAGCUUGAGUGGAGGUUCCGACAUAUUGCUUUCUUUAUCCUUGUCUUCGCAGUGAAGAGGGAGGACAAAGAAAAGGAUAGGGAGAAAGCAUGCUAUGAGAUACUCUUGCUCUCAACCCCAAUGAUAUGAGAUACCUUUACUCUGGUGUGGCUUGGUUGAAGAGGCGUUUCUAGGGAGGAAGAAAACUGAGUUUUGGUUGCAGAUGCCCUCGGCGAGGAAGAAAGGUCAGGCUGGAUGUGUUUUCAGGGAGGAAGAAACUGAGUUUUGGUUGCAGAUGUCUUCGGCAAGGAAGAAAGGGGUCAGGCUGGAUGCGUGUCUUGCUAUGGGAUGGAGGUCGAAUUAUAUGGUGAGCUCUCAACAUCAAGUGGCAGGGCGAGCGUGGCCUUGUCACCCACGCUUGUCGGCAGAAGUGUGGUAGUUGGCAUAAUGGACCUCACGCGUUUUCAACUUUGUCAGUGAUAUCUGACAAAGUUGCACGUGAUAGCCGAAAGCUGAGAUUGUGUCUGAAAAGUGUCGACGGACUUUACGCAGGAAAAUCCGGGUUUUGAAAUUCGGAGAGUGGUGUCUCUUCGAUUUACGAACAAAUGGUUGUGCUGCCUCUCAUUUUUAAGAGGUGUCAAUUGUAUUCAACACGCAAAAUUUGAAGAUUGCCUGCCCGUGAAAAAUUAUCUCUGCUACUCUUUGCUUCAUCCAACCUUUUUCUUUUAGUAUUUUUUGAAAAUGGCUUCCCCUUUUAACAUUUGCUUAGAUUUGAGUCUUAGCAGUGACACAGGUGCAUCGCGUCAGGGUAAUGUAUGGCGCCCGUCUUUUUUUUCUUCUAAUGGCCCUCUUACAGUUGAGGACUCUGUGAUGAGGGAUGCAACCACGGCUACGGUUGUAGCUAGAAACCUCAUCACUCCUAAAGAUAAUAGGAUACUUUCACGACGGUCCGAUGAGUUAGCUGUUCAAGAGUCCCAGGCUCUCAGUGUCCAGUGUGCGAACUCUGUUUCCAACAUGGGCCAACGCUUACUUGCUCGAACUCGCCAGGUUGAAUCAUUGACAGCCGAGGUGGCGGCUCUUAGUCAAGAGAUUAGGCAGCUCAAGCGUGAGAAUGGAGAGUUGCAUGUGCUUGCAAAUAGUUAUUCGACGAGCAUGAAGAGGAAGCUUGAUCAGCUGACGAACUCCGAAGGUCGAAUUCAAAGUGACCAUCGGAAGUUUGUGGAUGUAUUCCGGAGGCACUUUUUGCCUUCGUCAUCUGGAAUUCGACCAAGUAUUGAGGCUCCGAAUAAGCUAUCUUCAGUGCCUCCCUCCUUUAGGGUUCCACCGAGUACCAAGGCUCCAAGUACUGAGGCUUCACACAAGUGACAUUCGUGAAGGCUUUUUUUUUUUUUUUUUUUUUUUUUUUUUUUUUUUUUCGUGUAAUUUCUCGGAGAUAUUAAUGGACAUGCCUUAUUUUAUUCAGUAUGUUGUGUUGAAACGCAAACAAAACGCAUAUCUGACUAAGAUGCAUUACUUCCCUAUGCACCCACUUCCUUUUAGAUGGUGACUAGUGCACCCAUUUCUUUUAGAUGGUGACUGGAAGCAUCAUUUUGUCAUCACCACCCAUUUCCUUUUCCAUUAUUGACUUGCGAAUAGUAAUACACACUCGUGAGUGGCUUGACGAUAGCACAGUUGGUUUUUUUUUUGUGGCCUUCCUCACUGCAUUGCGUUCUUCUCGCAUGCGGACCAUCUUUUCACUUGCACAAUCACCUUAUCACAAUCUUCAUUGGAUGCGGAUUGCUUUUUUACACAGUCACUGUAUCGCAUGCGGAUCACUGUUUGCACAGUCACUGCACUACAUGCAAACCGGUUUUAUUUGCAGCCUGUUGAGACCAAUAUAUAUAUACACACGCAUUCAUACACACAUGCAUACAUACAUAGGGCAUUGCGUAGUCUUUACAUAGACACUGCACCAGCUUACUGCCCUGAAUCUUAAAUGCACUCUCCUGUUUCUUUGCUGCGACGUGCUCUUCUCGUCUGCCGUGUGGUGAGCUCGGUGUUGGACAAAAAGUGGUGCAGCUUCUUCAACCCCAUCACCCUGCAGUCGGUCACGUCUAUGUUCAUCGUGUUCAUCCGAAGUCUUCACUGCGGCAGAGGAAAAGCUCACCAUCAUCAAAAUUAGGGCAGCAACAACAAACUUCAUUAUCCUGCAAGCUUCAGGGAGAGUUGCAUGAGAGUAUGAGGACGGAAGGAUGAAGGACUGCAGCAUGGUUGCUACAACCGCUCGGGCUUCCGUUUAUCGUCCUCGACGGCGCUGCAAAUGUUUCCACCAAUGGAGAAGAGGAAGGAGGGCGCUGCCUUCACUCUAUGAGGUAUGUUUUAUUGCUGAGGAAGGUUUGCCGCAUAUAUAAAUAUAUAUAUAUAUAUUUUUUAUUUUUAUUUUUUAUAUAGUGCUCUGUCAGGCUGAGGUUGCUAAACCGGCGAAGAACCUAGGAAGGCAUCAAAAGUCUGCUCUGCUUGACUCGGUCAGAGAAAGUGAAUGCGAGUGCAGGUUCGAAUGACAAGGCCGUGUUGCUUUCCCCGUCUUCAACCGCUGCAGCUUCAUUCUUGUUGCUACAGGUUCGUCUUUGCUGUGGCUUGGAGAGAGAGACGUCGCUGCAAAGGAGAGAGAGAGAAACACCACAUCUGGAUUCAGAUUUUGUGCAUCUGCAGGUCUUCCUUUCGUUUGUGGGUGACUGUGCAACUUUUAUGAGAGGAAGAAGAAGAGUCAACGGAAAAGAAGGUGUUGCGGACGAGGUCGCGUGGCUGACUUGGAGGUCCACUUGCUUCGGGUGUGCGCACCAUGUGUUGCAGGUGGGGUUUUGCUGUGUAAUGCCUUUUGGUCACAGUUUUCCCUUGGUGGUGACGUUGGCGUAGUGCUCACCUUUGUAAUAUGGCUUUGUAACCAAAUCAUUUCUUUAAAGAAAUAAAAUAUUCAUAUCUUGAAUUGCUAUUUAUUCUUCAAAGUGUUUGUGUUUUUGUUGGUGAUGUGACUGUACUUGAAGUUUUGAAGUUUCAAGUUGCCUACGUACCCCCGGUUGAUGAGGGAUCAAGUCAUAACGUAGUUCGAAUGAACGAUGAUUUUUUUUUUUUAUAGUGAUUUUGAUGAUGAUUUUGCCGUACACAGUUUAUGCUCUUGCGGGCCAGGAGCCUUGUGCCGUGUGCAGUUUAGGCUCAUGCAGGCAAGGAGUCUGGUCGUCGCUUUUUAGGGGUAGUAACGCUUCAAGAAUCUGCCAUUGAUGGGACCGAUCUUCAAGCCGUCCUCUGCCAUGAUUAAGUAGGCGCCGCUUAUGUAGACCUCUUGUAUUACAUACGGUCCAUCCCACUUUGAUGUGAACUUGCUUUUUGUCUUGUGAGUUGUGAUGAUAGGCCUUCGUAAUGCAAGGACGAGAUCUUCAGUUUGGAAAGACCUUGGGCGGACCUUCUUGUUGAAUGCCUUGGAUAGCCGUGCUUGGUAGCAUUCCAGGUGUUGUUGAGCUUCGAGCCUUCUUUCGUCAAGUGAUUCCAACUCUUGAAGGCGCAACUUUGCAUUCUCUUCAUCAGUCAAACCUUCUUGUAUAGCCAUCCUAAGUGAGGGGAUUUGACUUUCUAGCGGUAAAACAGCUUCCACGCCAUAUACGAGAGAAUAAGGGGUAGCUUGGGUAGGAGUCCUAUGCGUCGUCCUAUAUGCCCAAAGUGCUUCGCUUAUUCUUUCAUGCCAGUCCCUCUUUGUUCGGCCGAUCACCUUCUUUAAGAGGUUGCACAAUGUUUUGUUGAAUGCUUCCGCUAGACCGUUGGCCGGAGCAUGAUACAUGGAAGACUUAUGCUGCUUGAACUUGUAUUUCUCACAGAGCUCGUCUACAAGUCGGUUGGAGAACUGUUUUCCAUUGUCCGUGAUAAUGUAACGAGGCACACCAUAUCUGUGGAUGAUAUGUUCUUUGAUGAAACGGACAACAGUUUCCUUUUUUUACUUCCCUUAGGGGUAUGGCUUCAGCCCACUUGGAAAAGUAAUCUGUUGCAGCUAGGAUGUAGGCUUCUCCUGCAGAUGACUUUGGAGUAAUUGGUCCCACGACGUCCAGUCCCCAUGCAUCGAAUGGCCACGAAGCAGUUGUAGGGUGUAAUGGUUCAGGUGGUUGAUGUAUGAAGUUGGCGUGGAAUUGGCAAGCUUGGCACCUUUUGGCAUGUUCCAGGCAAUCCUUCACCAUACUUGGCCAGUAGUAACCCAUUCUUUUGAGCUGGAAAUGUAGCUUUGGUCCAGAUUGAUGCGCCCCGCACACGCCUGAGUGCGCUUCUUCCAUGGCUUGAUUGGCUUCUUCCUCACCUAGGCAUCUCAGAAGUACUCCUUCGAAAGAGCGCCGGUAGAGUGUUUCUUUGUAGUAGAGGAAGCGAGGUGCUCGUCGACGUAUUUCAGAGCGGUGUCUAGGAUCAUCAUUUGGAAGUUUUCCAUACUCUAAGUAGUCAAUCAAUGGUUGUCUCCAUUCUUCAACAUCGACUGGAAGUACCGAGAGAUGACAUUUGUAUCAUCUAGUAGCAUUUCGGUGGCGAGGGGGAUGACCCAUCUUUGGCAAACUGGCACGUCUGCCGCUUCGUCUUCUCCUAGUGUCAUACUCGAGGCUAGGUUAGCGAGAGCGUCUGCCAUUUGAUUUUCUUUUCUCGGCACAUGUUUCUAGUGUUACGGCCUCGAACUUUUGUAGCAGCUGAGUUGCCAGUCGGAAGUACGGGACGAGAUCGUCUUUUCUCACCUCAUAUUCAGUCAAGAGUUGACUAAUUAUGAGCUUGGAGUCGCCAUAUACCUCGAGGGUUGUGAUUUCCAUGUUGAUCGCCAUUUGGAGCCCGAUGAUUAGUGCUUGGUACUCAGCGACGUUGUUGGAGCACAAUUCGCUUAGUUGGAAUGAAUAAGGUAGUAUUUGCCUUUGUGGCGACAUGAAUACUACUCCUGCCCCCGCUCCGUCUGCUCGUGCAGAUCCGUCGAAGAACAUCGUCCAUCUCGGGAAUAUGUCAAUGUAGAAUACCUCCUCGUCAGGCAAGUCGUCUGAGAUUUUCCAAUCGGCUGGGAUUGGAUGAUCGGCAAGGAAGUCUGCUAAUGCUUGUCCCUUGACGGCUUUAGCUGGGACGUAAAUGAUCUCGUAUUGAUUGAGAAUCAACGCCCAUUUAGCUAGUCGCCCUGUCAAAACUGGCUUGGACAUGACGUAUUUAACCGGGUCGGCUUUAGCAACCAAGUGGAUGGUGUAAGCAUGCAUGUAAUGUCUAAGCUUCUGGAUGGCAAACACCAAGGCAAGGCACAUUUUUUCUAUUGGGGAGUAGUUCAACUCAGCGCCGGUGAGUGUUCGACUCAAGUAGUAAAGCGCUCCUUCUUUCUGGAAUUCAUUUUCCUGUGCCAAGAGUGCUCCCACUGAACUUUCCUGAGCGGCGAUGUACAAUAUGAGUGGUUUCCCGGGCACAGGCGCCCCCAGGACAGGUGGACUUGAUAAAUAUUUUUUUAUGCUUUCAAAAGCGUUGUGGCACGCUUCGUCCCAUACGAACGGGACAUCCUUUUUCAUGAGUCGACUAAACGGUUGACAACGCCCUGCAAGGUUGGAGAUGAAGCGUCUGAUGAAGGCUAGUCGUCCUUGUAGGCUUUUCAGCUCGUGCAGGUUUCUUGGUUCGGGCAUGUUUCGAAUGGCCUUGAUCUUUGAUUGGUCCACUUCAAUGCCACGGUGCUUGACAACGAAGCCGAGAAACUUUCCUGAGGUGACGCCAAAUGCACAUUUUAACGGGUUCAUCUUGAGGUUGUAUUUUCGCAGCCUUUCGAACACUACUCGCAAAUCCUUCAAGUGAUCUGAUCUUUUCUUUGUUUUGACCACCACAUCGUCUACAUAACAUUCUACGUUUUUGUGUAGCAUGUCAUUGAAGAUUUUCUGCAUUGCUCGCUGAUAUGUGGCUCCAGCGUUCUUUAGACCAAAGGGCAUCACCUUGUAGCAGUAGAUACCUUUUGGAGUGCGGAAUGCUGUUAGUUCCUCAUCUUCGAGAGCCAUACGAAUUUGAUUGUAUCCAGAAGAGCCGUCCAUAAAUGACAGUGCCUCAUGGCCAGUGGUCGCGUCCACCAUGAUUUCGAUGAUCGGCAAGGGAAAGUCAUCUUUCGGGCAAGCGUCAUUGAGGUCCCGAAAGUCUACACAAACUCGUAUUUGUCCAGAUUUCUUAAGGACGAUGACGAUGUUGGAGAUCCACUUAGGGUAUUGCACCUCUCGAAUGAAGCCUGCUUCGAUUAGCUUGUCAAUCUCUACCUCAAUUUGUGGAAUGAGCUCGGAUCGAUAGCGCCUUUGAGUUUGCUUUAUUGGUCUCGUUCCGGGCUUAACUGCAAGAUGAUGUACAGCGAUGACAGGGUCAAGGCCGGGCAUUUCCUUGUAAGUCCAAGCAAAGACGUCUUUGUACUCUGAUAACAGUUGGUAAUACUCGUCUACCUCGUCCGCACUUAGCAACGCACUUACGAAGAUAGGUCUCUGCUCCUCUUUUGUGCCUAAGUUGAGUUCCUUGAGAUCAUCGACUGUGGAUUGCCCCCCAUCCUCCAGUUGUGGUGGCGCAGCAGUGACACCUUCUUCGGGGAUCUCAUCUUCUUCGCUUUCUUGGAUCGUGAUGUGGAAGACAUCUUGGAAUUCCUCUUCGGUGUCGUCCUCUUGGGCUGGUCGGCAUGAAGAUUGUCCAGUGUGGAUGAUGGUGCGCCUUCUUACUUUUAGUGGUCCAUUUGUGUCCACCUCCAAGAUUGCUUGGCGCUUCAUCCUUGAAGGAAUUGAGCUUCGAAUAUCACAUUUUUCUGCUAUUAUGACGAGCUUUUCUUCCUUUGACGUGGUCUUCCUAUUUCUAGAAAACUUCUUGUUGUCUUCAAGUCUUUCCAAAGCUGACUGACGAGGAAGAGAGCUAGUCGUGUUGCUUUGCUUCUUAGGUUUUGACAACCUUUCAAAAAACAGAGCUUUGGGAUGCUAGCAUGUUAAGUCUCUUGAAGACGGAGGUUCGGUUUUGACCACCAAUGCGGUUAAAUGCUGACAUUCUGGGUUUUGAACGAUUCAUCCUAUCGAAGACUGACGUCCAAGGGGUGGAUUUAGGCUCAUCAUGAUCUUGUUCAAUACUCACGCUGAUGUGUUGAGUGCUAGCGUUUUUCGCUUUGCUUGAAAUCUUCACGGGUGCGUUUGGUGUGAAAGCCUAGUCCAGCUUUGUUGUUAUCAAACUCCGUAACCGUGCUUCUUCAACUUCCUUUGAGUCUCGGUGAGGUCACGUUCUUUAUUGUUAACGGUGUUUGAAACCUUCUUUCCAUGAUUCGAAGAAGAAGCAAAGUCGUAGCCAGCUUUCGACAUGAGUUUAUAGGCGUUUGGAUCAAAACCUUCUUCGGUCCUCUGGGUUGGGAGAAAGCUUGGUUCCACCCCCUUUGGUAGAGCUUUUAUGAAGCCUUGUGGUAGUCUUGCGACCUUAGUGCCGCCUAGCUGUGUCAGAGGUAAAACUGCAUUCGUCUUGAGCAUCUUUACAUUAUCCAUAUACCUCUGUGCAUCGGCUUUGUUUGCUCCAGUUUCGAACGGGGAUUGACCAUUCUUUCUUCUCGACAUCGGGAUGUAUCGGAAGACGGGUGUGUUUGGUCCAUUUGAGGGCGUCUUACUCUCCUUUGUUGUUGCACGUUUAGCCAGCUCAUUAUCGUUCUUGCUUGAAGACGGCGUAACUUCUUCUUCUUGCUUCUUGGGCAUGGCUUGUCGUUCCUGCUUUUUAGGUGUUGCUUUGCCCGUGGAUUUGAUCUCUUUUGGAAGAGCUUCGGGCACCAUGUCUUCAUCCAUGUAGAACUUGGCGUCUGCGAAAUGUGAUUCGGCUUCAGUGAAUGGUUUGGUGUCGCCAUAGAUCACCUUCACUCCUUCUCGGUAGAAUUUUAAGCAUUGGUGAAGGGUGGACGGUACUACUCCAUUCGCAUGGAUCCAAGGCCUUCCUAAGAGUAAGCCGUAGGAAGUUCUUGCAUCAAUCACGUGGAAUAUCGUGCUCGACUUGAGUUCGCCAAUAGUCAUCUCCACUCGGAUCAUGCCCAUCGCUCUUUGUCCUCCUUGAUUAAAACCUUGGAUUAGUAGACGACUUAGGGACAGUUCAUCCGCCUUGAUGCCGAUUGUAAUCAUUGUCGACUUUGGCAUGAUGUUUAUGGCUGAUCCACCAUCCACAAGCAUGCGGUUGACUUUGUGCCCCUUUACAUACCCAGAGACGAAGAGAGGACGGUUGUGAGGCUUGGAUCCUAGCAGCAAGUCUUCGUCGGUGAAAUGGAUUGCGUCCUCUAUGGCACAAACAUGUGGCACAUUCAUGUGGCCGAAGCUUCAAGUCUUCGUUCUUGCUUUCUUGCACUUCAUGUUCAUUGGGACUUUCCAAGGCCGCUGCUAAUGCUAUUCGCAUCUUCUUUGGUAAUCGUAGCGCUUCCUCAAUGCUAAAGUGUGUUGGCAGACCUUCUUCGAGCGUGAGAGUUUUUUCUCCCUCAGUGGUGGUAUCUUUGCUUUUUGAAGGUUCUUCCGUUUCUACUUCGACCAUAUGGCAUGCAGCGAUGGUGCACUGUUGGAAGAAGUCAUUCGGGAAGUACUCGCGCAAGGAGACAGGAAUGCGUGGCUCUUGCUCCACGGGUUCCCCAGCAUACGUUGGCUUAUCGACUUUUACGUUUUCUUUAGGCUUCCUACUGUUGCGGCGACGGUGUUUUCUCACUUGUUCCACCUUUGGUCUUGUGGCUUGUGGUUUUGGUUUCCUUGUUUUUUUGUAGGUCACCAAUGUCCAUCCUUCAUCAUCAUCGGUAUACGCAUCUUGUUCGUUUGCCCCCGGCGAUGGUUGUGUAGAAGGCGCCGUGUAGCUUGCACAUUGAUAGGAAUGGUUGGGUGUCGUUUGGAGAGGCACGGGAUCGAAGGAUCCGAACGCCACUGUAGUAGUAUGUGUUGCGGCUGUGUCCUCAAGGUCUAGCUCGAUUCUCCCUUGUUGCGCUAGCUUCAUAAUGAGUUCUUUGAGGACGAAGCAUUUGCCCACAUGAUGGCUUACGAUACGAUGGUACUUGCAGUACCUAGGAUCGUUCGUUCGAUUCAUUUCUUCAGGGCGCUUGCACUCUGGUAACUCAAUUACCUUCUUUUCCAGCAAGUCAUCUAACAUUGCAUCCACGUCUGAGUCAGGAAAAGGGUACGUCUUUUGCUCCAACUCUCUCAAGGUGUUUUUAUACUUGUCUUGGGUGCGAGGAGGCUCACUUCUUUUUGUCUCCUUUGCCUUGGUCUUGGAGGAAAUCUUGAUAGGUGCAGAGGUGGUCUUGAUAGGCGCGGAUGGGGUUUUGAUGGGGGUAGUGUUGACAGUAAAAGUUUCCUUUGCAGGCUUUUUUCCGGUCUUGUCCACACUCGGGGCGAACACCUUAUCCUUCUUGAAGUGGGUGAUCGGCUCAUUCUUUCCGUGAUUGGCGAUACUCAGCUCCAUGUCGUGGGAGCGCGUUGCCAGCUCCUCAAACGUUCUUGGUUUUAUGCCUUGGAGAAUGUAAUGUAACCCCCAGUGCAUGCCUUGAACACACAUCUCAAUGGCAGAGGUUUCAGAGAGCCGAUCUUUGCAAUCCAGACUUAAUGAACGCCAUCUAUUGAUGUAGUCGACGACGGGUUCCUCCUUCCACUGUUUCGUACUGGUCAGCUCCAGCAUGCUUACGGUGCGGCGCGUGCUGUAGAAACGGUUGAGGAAUUCCUUUUCUAGCUGAUCCCAACUGCUGAUAGACUCGGGCUCGAGGUCGGUGUACCAGUCAAAGGCGUUGCUUUUCAGCGAGCGCACGAACUGCUUGACGAGGUAGUCUCCCUCUGUUCCAGCAUUGCUGCAGGUUUCAAUGAAGUGGGCGAUAUGUUGCUUCGGGUUCCCCUUUCCAUCGAACUGCAUAAACUUUGGUGGUUGAUAGCCCUUUGGCAUCUUCAAAGCGUCAAUCUUCUUGGAGUAGGGCUUUGAGUAUAGUACGGAAUCAUGUGAGCUUCCUUCAUACUGCGCCUUGAUGGUGUUGGCGAUCAUCUCCUGCAGCUGCUGGAUAGAGAGAGACCCCAUAAGUGUCGCCGCUUGGUCUAGCUUCAGCGUCUCUUCGACGUUCUCCACUGGAGGUUCCUCAUCCUCGUCGUUUUCCUUCUUUACCGGAUUAUCCCCUUGCCUGGCUUUCUCAUCGGGCUUUGCAUCUAGUUGGUUAACAAGUGCUGCGAUUUGCAGGUCUUUUUCCUCCACAGUCCUUGUGAGCUUUGCGAUUGCUUCGUUCAUCUGAGCCAGCUGCUCCUCAAUUGAAGUUGUUCCGGUAACCAUGACUUGCAUAGCUAUGCCGCUGCUCGAGUCGGCAUCGGAAAGUAAGGAUUCAGAGUACUUCCUCUGGCUUUCCUCUCUUGGCGCCCUGAGCGAGGCCAGGGUGAUCACCGGUUCGAACCUCGGGUGCUCUUGUGCCUUCGGCGGAGUUGAUGAAGGGGCGAAAGAGGCGGCGGAAAGAGCUUUUGCCUUACUUCGAGUUAUGAUGCCUGAAGUGAUGCCCCCUGUCGUGAUGACGCUCUUGUUUCUUGCAUUGGCAGCGAGAACAACUUGGGCCUUCCUUGACGCCAUUUGUGCUUGUUGCGGAUUCAAAGAUAGAGAUGAGAGGUAGAGACUGUCCCACCGAGCGUGCCAAAUUUGUAAACACGGAAAUUCCUGAAACGAAAGAGACAAGAACACGUGUACAAAAUAAUAUUUGUAUUAAUGAUUUAGGGGUUACAAUCUCUUCUACAAAUUUAUCCUCUGAUUCUAUCUUUGAAACGUGUAGAUGUAGUGUUGUUGAUCCAAGGGCCGUCGAGGCUUGAUCUUGGACGAACAGUUGAUGAAUGAUGAACACCUUCUUCAAGGGCCGUCGGGGCUUGAUCUUGAAUGGGUGGAAGUUCUUCAAGGGGCGUUGGAGCUUGAUCUUGAAGGAGGAUUUCACGAAGAACAGAUAGGGCUUUCUUGAUCCUUCGGGAUUUGCUUGAGAGCUUCAGAGUUUCGAGGCUUCAAGGCUUUGGUGUGGUGUGAUUUCUCUUCCAAUUUGGGAGUAGAGAAAGUGUAUCUAAAAUCCUCCCUUGAUUCUUUGAUGGAGGAGCCUAUUUAUAGGCUUUGGGAAUGAACCACCACCAUCCAUUUGUUUUGGUGGAUGUUGUAGGUGAAUUGGUGGAUUGUUGUAGGUGAAUUUGGGUGGAGGUUGUAGGUGAAUUUGGAUGGAUUGUUGUAGGUGAAUUUGGGUGUAUGUUGUAGGUGAAUUUGGGUAGGUGAAUUUGGGUGGAGGUUGUAGGUGAAUUUGGAUGGAUUGUUGUAGGUGAAUUUGGGUGUAUGUUGUAGGUGAAUUUGGGUAGGUGAAUUUGGGUGGAGGUUGUAGGUGAAUUUGGAUGGAUUGUUGUAGGUGAAUUUGGGUGUAUGUUGUAGGUGAAUUUGGGUGAAGGUUGUAGGUGAAUUUGGGUGAAGGUUGUAGGUGAAUUUGGAUGGAUUGUUGUAGGUGAAUUUGGGUGUAUGUUGUAGGUGAAUUUGGGUGAAGGUUGUAGUUUUAAUGCAAUGGUCAACAUUUAUUUCACUAAAAUUUCAAUGUUUACAAAUGUAAUUUUAAUGUGAUGGCUAACAUUUAUUUCAACGAAAUUUCAAUGUCUACAUUUACAAAACCACUUUUUUCGCAGAAUUUUUUCCACACCACAAGCUUGUUAAAAUUCUUGCUAAACAAUGUAAAGAAGUUUGGAAACGAUACUAAUUAAGGUUUCCUUACUGGCUUUACAAAUUGCAUUUUUCACCAAAAUUGUUGCUCACGUUUAUUAAUCGAUUUUUCUAAAUAAAAAAACAACAAUUCAUUUUAGAACUAAGCCGAUCUGUUUACACAUGUGUAUGUGUAAACUCCAUAUAGUCAACACACAGACAAUGUUUCAUACGUUAUCUUGAACUAGCAUCUUGUCACAUGCAUACGCAUGCGACAAUUUGCCUUUGUAUGUUAAAUUAAAGUUUUAUUAUGAUUUUUUACAUAAUAAAUUAAGAAAUUCAAUUUUUGUUAUUUAUAUAUUUUUAUUAAUAAUAUUUUUGAAAAUAAAUUAGAAGUUAAACAUAAACCGUGGGGUUUUGCUAUUUUUUUCUUUCUAAAGUUUAAAAUUUUAAAUUCGUUCAAAAUUAAUAUUUGUUGAAUUAUUUUAACUCCUUUUAAUUCAAUAGUAAUUUAAAAAAAUUUAGAGGCAAUUUAUGGUAUUUUGAAAAGGAAAACUAAUGAAAAUGACUUGAAAACUUUGAAUUUUAAUGAUAAUGACAAAAUAAAGAGUAAAAUGAAUAGUAUCAAGAUUGACUUUUUUGUGUAAAAAUGUGGUUUUUCGUUAAAGUAAACAGUACCGAGAGCUUUUCGUUAGUUCCCAUUUUGAAAUUAACCUGCAUGCAUGCAGUUUGACUACUUUGGCCUCCCAGCCAUUCGGUUCUUGUCCAUUUUUUCCACCCUGUUAUGAAAGUGAAAUAUACCUAUACUGUACUACGAGAACAUGAGACAUGCAGUGUUACUUUCAACAGGUGGCACGCCUUGCUACCUCACACUUAUCCUCCUUGAUCAAUCCAUAUCUACACAUUCAAUCAACUCUUGUGCAUUACGUACGUCGCUAUGCUUUUUCAAAAGUCUCUCUCAAUUUCAUAAAAAUUGCAGAGCUGGGUGUAGCUACAUAAGCUGCAAAAGCACAAAUAGAAAUAUUAUUGCUUAUAUAAAAGAAUUCAUACAACUUUGUUUUUUUUUUUUUUUUUUGCGACCAUUCGGUUAAAUUUUGUUUUGCAUGUAUUAGGGUAAAGGGAGUGUGAUAUUCUCUCCUUCUAAUCUCUCUCCCCUUCCUUCCCAUCCUAUUUGAAUAGUUAUGAUUAAAUCACAUCAACAUCUUAUAUUGAUUUCCUUAUAGAGAGAGAAAGACAAAGAUGAAAGGAAAAUGGGGAGGCACUAGAAGAAAAAAGCUCAUCUAUCACGGUGAAUACCCGUGAUAAAUUGCAAUCUACCACGGACACUGUGCCCGUUAGUAUUCUGGAUGUGAUAAAAAGUCUCAGUUUCUACCACAGGCUAUGUCCGUUGUCAAAUGCAAUAUAACCACGGAUUGUACCCGUGGUAGAUUGAGAUCUAACACCACAUGCUAUGACCGUUGUCGAUUACUAAUUGACCACAUCUAAUGCCCGUUAUAAAUUAUUUUCCAAAAUUAAAAAAAAUAUAUUUAACAAAUAUAUAUAUAUAUAUUGAUUUAUUUAUUUAUAUAUUUUAGUACAGAAUAAUCAACAAAAUUGCAUAUUUACUACAAUAUAAUAAUUACAUAAAAAAAUACUUGAUAAUAUUAUAACAUAAUUUAAAAAUACUUGAGUUUCCAAAUGAAUACAUAAACAACAAAAGUCAUAAAGUACUAUCCAUGUAGUGCCUAAUGAAUACAUAAACAACGGAAGUCAUAAAAUACUAUCCAUGUAGUGCCAAAGUACCAUUUUCUAGUCUAAGUACGAACUAAAAUUACUCUCCAACUCAGACGUACUUUGAUGGCCAGGCAAUUGUACUAGAUAUAGCAUCCUCCACGACACGAAAUUCACUUGUAGGGCGGUACAAAGAUAUAUUCUCCACUCUUACCCAAACUUUCCAUCAAUCAGGAUCAAGCACCAUGUGAUGAACUUUCACCUCAGGAUUUGUUGAUUCUAUUUCUCCAGUUGCAACAACUUGUCUAUUUCCGAGCCAAUUUAGUAACUUGCAUGAAGACCCUCGUAAAAUACCAACAGGUUUAACUAGCAUAAAGAAACCAAAUAAGAACAUCAAUUUCAAAUGAUUAAGUUAUCAAACUAUUUAACAAUUAUUAUCAAGCGUGUGUUACUACCUGAGAAGUGGCUUUAGACCUUUCUUUUCUCUUAAUGCUGUCUCUUUCUAUGUUUGGACUACUUCUCUGUGACAAUCGAACAUGGAAGACACAAAAUUCGAACAACUUAUAUCAAAAUAUCAUAAGUUUCAUAAGCUAACUAUUUAGUACUUGUUCUCGUAUACUUGGGAACUAGCUUUGGAAGCUUGUCUAGAAGCAUCGUCAGCUUCUCGUGCACUUCUUCUAUCACAUUGUAUCUAAUAACAAAACAAAAACAGUUGAAUUAUCAACAUCUGCUAUGUCUUAAUAUAUUAAUUUGUACACAGGAAUGGCCUCACAAAACAAAAAUAAUUUAAUUAUCUAAUAACAAAACAGAAAUUUGCUCUGCCGCCGAUGGAGCCACAAAGAAGGAAAUUGGCCGAGCAAAAGAAUACAUAUUGAAACAACUGGGAUUAGAGAAUGGUUAGUGGAGAUGCAAACAAUACAUGCUGGGGACUUUAUGGUGAAAUUUUUUUUGUGAAAAAGGUAGAGAAAUUCAUACAAAAAGACACAUAGAAACCAUCUUCUUAGCAAUCAAUAUUAUAUAAAAAAAAAAAGUGAACAAGCAUUUUCUUUACAAUGUUUACACUAGUAUAGUCGAAUUUGCAGUUUCAAUUGAUCGAAGUAUUACUACUGCAUAUCUUUUUUCCUUAUAUAUAACUGGUUCGUGCUCUGUGUGUGUGUGUAUAUAUAUAUAUAUAUGCACGUGUAUAAAUAGAGUAAAGCAGAACGUAAACUUCAUGGGCAAGUCAUCAAAAUCUGAACAAAUAGUUUUCAAUUCAACAACCACAAAUUCAAAAAGCAUUCCAGCCGAUGGCUACAUACCCCAAUCGCAAUCAUGCAUAUACAAAUCACAAAUUCAAAACCCUAGCUCCCAAAUUAACCAGCUCAAAAUCUGAACGAAAAUUGAAUUAAUUUAAAUUAAAACCUGCUAAGAAUAGGAGUGCUGACCCUCGCAAACAGGGCUUUCAUCGAAGUUCUUAGAGGGGUACUUGGCGGAGACCAUGCCGACCUCGAACACCAAGUUGUCGCCGCUCGACCGGAUUCCCGUGAUCGACCACCACUGGAAGAAGGCCCGGACGCUGAUGCCGUUGAUCUUGGCGAUUUAUGACGAUUCGAAGAUGAGGGGGAAGGGUGGAUGGAUGACGAGUCGAUGAGGAGAAGAGAUGAGGGUUUGGUGGGUUGGUGCAGAGGAGUGGAGGGAUAUGGGAAGGUGGGGGAGAUAGAGGACGAUAAAAAAGGAUUGACGGUUUCUUUUUAGGGUUUUCGUCCAGUUUCACGUGAGGGGAAAAUAAUUGGGAUUUUAGAUUUUAAUAUCUUUCAAAAUAUUAAAAAAAAACAAAAAAACAUCCACCACGGGCCAAGGGCGUGGUGAAUUGUCAAAAGGUGGUGUGUGGUCGUUUGAAGUAACCACUACGAGCAUAUCGCGUGGUGGUUUUGAUAUUCCAUUAUGGGAAUAAAAACCGUUGUAAAUUAUUCACUUUUAACAACGGGCCAGAACUUGACCGUGGUGGAUUAAUGUUAUCUACCAUGAGCUACACUCGACCGUGGUAAUGAAAUAGUUUCUACCACGAACUGUUGAUGCCCGUGAUGGAAUUGAUGUGGUAAAUAUGAUGUUAUGUACUUGUGAGGAUUAGGGCGGGAAAAGAAUCGUAGUCCAAGGUAAAGAACUCAUUCACAUGCAAGAUUCGACUCCAUUAUUAAUCAGCCGUUGGAUCUUGAACUCUCUAUAAGUAUUAAACAAAAUGAGUCCAUCUAUCUCACCCAAAAAUCAAUAAAAAAUGAUUCCUUCAGAAAUAGCCAUCCUAAUCCUUGUAUUCCUUACCUUCCUGUGGUCUAUCCUCUGCAUCCUAAUCAAUGCCUUCUCAAGGCAAAGCCGAAAACUACCUCCUGGCCCUAGGGAACUACCAAUCAUUGGCAAUCAUUGGCAAUCUUCAAGUUUUAUUGUUUUUUACUCUCUUAAUCAUCAAGUUUUAUUGCUAUUCACUUUCAAGGCAAAGCCAAAAACUACCUCCUAGCCCUAGGGCACUAACAAUUUUUUACUCUCCUCACCAUAUAAUAAUUCAACAACGCCAAGUGAUUCUCUUGUGUCUUUUCUAAAAUCAACAAACACUAGUGAAUCAAAUUUUAGAAUAACCUAGUUUAACAAUAAAUUAUUGAAAAAGAAAAUUUAAAUUCAAAGUUAUGGUUACCUCAAAUUACAAUCUUCAGGACCAAGUGAUAGUUGCUUAAACAUUCAAUAGAAAUAGAAAGACUGGGAAGUUAAAAGAAAAAUGAUUACAAAAUUAUGAUUAUUUUGGUUUUUGUUAUUUUUUUAGGUUAUUUUCAAAAGCAAAAGAAAAAAAUGCAUUUGGAUAUAUUAAGGCCAUUAAUUUCAGUAGCUUCUUGUCACACACGUGGGUGUGUGACAAUUGACCUUUGUAUGUUUUUUAUUUAAGAAACUCAAGUUUUUUCUAUUUAUACAAUUUUUAUUUAAAAUAUUUUUGAAAAUAAAUAAGAAUUUAAACAUAAACCACCCACUAACAUGAGGUUUUGUUAUUUUUUUUCUAAAGUUGAAAAUUUUAAAUUCAUUCAAAAUUAAUAUUUAUUGAAUUAUUUUAGCUCCUUUUGAUUUUUGAUUUUAAAAUUUUUUAGGAGCAAUUUAUCUUUAAUUUUAAUCUUUAAUUUCAUAGAUUUGAAUUUUAACUCCUUUUGAUUCUUGUAAUUUUAAAAUUUUUUAAGAGCAAUUUAUCUUUAAUUUUAAUCAUUAAUUUCAUAGAUUUGAAAAAAGCAAAAACUAAUGCCUACAAGGUGUUUCGAACUGCCCACCCCAAUGAAAACGGAGUGGAACCGUUUCCACUGCACCAACGAAAUAAUUGUAAUGUUUCUUAUGUUUCCACUGCACCAACGAAAUAAUUGGGGGCCCUAGACGACCGCCUACCUCGGCUACCCUCAAGGCCGGCCCUGACUAGAACAAGACAUGUUACUUUCAAAAGAUGGCACACGUAUCCUCAUGUUGUCCAUAUCCAUCCAUAUUCAAUCAACUCUUGUGCAUUCUUCUUCAAAAUUCUCUCUCAAUUUCAUGAAAAUUACAGAAGUAGGAGGGUAAAGGGAGUAGAAUUUUAUCCCCUCUUUAUCUCUCUUUCUUUCCCUUCUUUCUAAUUUGAACAGUUUACAAUUAAACCAUGUCAACAUCUUUUAUUGACUUCUUUAUAGAUAGAGAAAGACAAAUAAAAAAGUGUGAGAGAAUGAAAGAAAAAAAUGGAAGGAAUUAGGAGUGGAGACAAUCCUAAUAGAGGUUAAAGAACUCAUUUUCCACAUGCUGGCAUUGGGUAAUAUAUCAAUCAGUUGUUGGAUCUUGAACUCUCUAUAAGUAUCAAACAAAAUGAGUCUACAUGUAUAUAUAUGUGUGUGUGUGUCUAAUGUCCCAUUUAUCGAUCUCACCCAGAAAUCAUAUAAAAUGAGUCCUUCAGAAAUAGCCAUCCUCAUCCUUGUAUUCCUCACAUUCCUAUGGUCUCUCCUCCGCCUAAUCAAUGCCUCCUCAAGGCAAAGCCGAAACUGCCUCCUGGCCCUACGGCACUACCAAUCAUUGGCAAUCUUCAUAUGCUAGGCAACCUCCCACACCGUAGCCUCCAAAACCUGGCAAAAAAAUAUGGACCUAUAAUGUCCAUGCGUCUAGGGUUCAUACCAACCAUAGUGGUCUCAUCUCCCAAAACAGCAAAGCUAUUCCUCAAAACCCACGACAACAUUUUCGCUAGCUGCCCCAAACUCCAAGCCUCCGAGUACAUGGCCUACGGCACGAAGGCCAUGGCCUUUACUGAAUAUGGCCCAUAUUGGCACCGUAUUCGGAAACUCUACACGCUUCAACUUCUUUGUCCCUCGAAAAUCGAGGGUUUUGCUCCGCUAAGAAGGGAGGAGGUAGGGUUGUUGGUGCAGUCCCUGAAGGUAGCUGCGGAGGCGGGCGAGGUGGUGGAUUUUAGUGAGAAGGUCGGUGAGCUUGUUGAGGGAAUCACGUAUAGGAUGGUGUUGGGGAGAAAAAAUGAUGAUAUGUUUGAUCUCAAGGGGAUUAUUGAGGAAGCCCUAUUCUUGACAGGAGCUUUCAACAUUAGUGAUUAUGUGCCUUUCCUUAGUCCACUUGAUCUUCAGGUAUGUUACCCUUCAUUCUUAAAUACAAACUUGAUAGAUGAAUCAAUAAUAAAACUAGCGAAAUGCUAGGAACACCGUAAAGUAGGGACAUUUAUAAUCAUUGCACACACGCUAUUGCUAAGCACAAAUACAAAGUAGAGGCGUUGCAAAUAAGUGCACACACGUAUGGCAACUGAUUUUAGCACUACUCUUCUAAAAAUAUUUAAACUCUAUUAUUUAGAUGACGUAUUUAGAUGACGUAUGUCAACAAAUAAAGUGAACGAGAUUAAUUCAUAGUUUAGGGAAACCGAGCUCUUUUGGAUGUGCUCUUAAAAUGACUUAAAGUGUUUUUGGUAAAAUUAUUUUUAGAAACAAUCCUUAAUAAAAAUGCUAGCAAAUCUUGGAAAAACACUUAAAUGCUUUCUGGAAGAAGCAAAUAUAACUAGUGCUUCUUGUAGAAAGCACUUCAAAUAUUACUUUUAGAAUCCAAAAACAUUUUUUCUAAAAACGCUUUCAGUCAUUUUAAAAAGUAUAUCCAAACACAGCGAGUAACUAGUUCACAUUCGUACAAAUUAAUCUGAGAGGAAUAUCUGUUUACUUUAGCGAGCUCACUUAUCGUCUUUUUGCUGGUGAUAUGAUUCACAAAGUCAAAGCAUCCACAAAUUGUAAAUGCAAAAUCAUAUGAUUCAUAUCGUAUGGUCCAUUCCAUAGCCUGCUGACGAUAAACUAUCUCCUAAUUAGAGAUGUAAAAAUAUAUUUACAUCUCAUCUCAUUUUAUAGUUUCAAGAGGGGUAGAUGGGAGUUCUAUGCUAAUGAGAGUGAUGUAAAUUUGAGCUUUUAUUUAAUUUUCUCUCUUAGAGUAGCGGAGUCCACCAUACAAAAAAUAUACAUCUAUAUAUAUAUAUAAGUUCUUAUUUAUAUUUUCCAAUCAAUAUUUUCCAUCUUUCUGACCAACUUAAAGUAUUAAAUACAAAUUAUAUACAUCCAUAUAUAUAUAAGUUCUUAUUUAUAUUUUCCAAUCAAUAUUUUACAUCUUUCUGACCAACUUAAAGUAUUAAAUACAAAUUGCUCCCUAUCUUAUGCAUUUGGUUGCCAAUGGCAUCCGGGAUAUUAUUACAAUAGCAAUGGAUUUAAUGCAUAAUUCAUUAUUUUAGGAACCUUAAUUUCUGCAAUCAACUAUACAAAUUUAAAAUAUAUUCAACAUGCUCUUUAAGGGAAGAUCUCCAUUUAAAAAAAAAAAUAGUUGUAGGUCUCACUUCACAUCGAACUUCAAUAAUAAGAAUUGUCUAUAUUUUGUCUCUAUUCAUAGGUCAUUCUUGCAAAAAAAUCAAUUCAAUCCAAAAUCAUUUGGUCAUUUGAUUGUCACGAUGAAAUUUUAAUAUAUGUUUCUUAUAACAUAAUGUUCAUCAAUGUCUUGGAGCUCAAUUAGAUUAAUUGAUGCCUCAAACAUUUUUUAUUUGGCUAAUUUUGCAAGAAUGAUUUAAGAGGUACAACUUGAAAAUAGACAAUUAAGAUAUCAUUGAAGUUCAAUGUAGUAUAGACUCCACAACUAAUCUAAAAAUGAGAAUCCCUUCCCUUAAAAGCAUAUGUUACAUGUAUGUGUUUUUUUUUUCUUAUCCUUCAUAAAGGAUGUAAUACUAAUACUAAGGAUUUUAUUUUACCAUUGAAAAUGAGGAUUUUACAAAAAUUCAAAAGAUAAAAUGCUAGUAAAUAUGUAGAUAUAGAUUUUGAGGCCUUACGUAGUGGGUAAAAUUGAGUUUAAGUCCAAUUUUAUAAGAAUCAAACUCCUAGGGCGGAAAAUUUGCAUUUUACAUGAGUGACUCCGAUUAUUGAGUUUAAUAAUUACUAAUGACUUUAAUUCCAAUAAAUGAUCAACCAUUUGACAGAGAAAAAUAGAGAUUAAUACAUAAAAUAAGGAAAAAAAAGUCCAAUAAUAUUAUAGGAAUCAAACUCAACGUACAUGAUUAUAUAUAGGAAUGAAACUAAACAAAACUAACGUUUCUCUCUGUAAUUGUUCUUUCAUCUCAGAAAAAAGGGUUGCACAUGAUCCCUUAUACCCAUGUGAGAGUGUCACCGUAUGUGCACAUGAUCCCUUAUACCCAUGUGAGAGUGUCACCGUAUGUGCCUAUCCUCACCCAAAAGUUACUCCAAAAAUACAAGAUGUAAUAGCUUUUAUAUAUGCAUUCAUGUCUUGUCCAUUUCAUUGUCUAAUAAAAAUGAUAGCUACAGUACUCAACUAGAAGUACAUAUGAUUGAUUGAUUGUAUGGAAUCUUAACUAUUUCUUCCACUUAGGGAUUGACCAAGCGCAUGAAGAGAGUUAGCAAAACUGUCGACCAACUACUCGAAAAGAUAAUUAAGGAUCAUGAACAAGUUUCCAGAAGUGAGGUACAAGGCAAUCAUCAUAAGGACUUUGUAGACGUGCUGCUUUCAUCAAUCCACCAACCAUUAAACCCCAACGAUGAGGAAGUCUACAUGCUCGAGCGAACAAAUGCCAAAGCCAUUUUACUCGACAUGAUUGCGGGUGCCUUUGACACCUCAGCCACGGCGAUUGUCUGGACCCUGGCAGAACUCUUGAGGCACCCGAAAGUAAUGAAACGUCUCCAAGAAGAGCUCCAGAGUGUGAUCGGGAUGGAUCGAAUGGUGGAAGAAAGUGAUUUGCCAAAGCUGGAUUACUUGAGCAUGGUGGUCAAGGAGAGCUUAAGGCUAAACCCAGUUGCCCCAUUACUAGUCCCUCAUCAAUCCAUGGAGGACAUUACGGUUGAUGGAUAUCACAUACCCAAGAAAUCAAGAGUCUUUAUCAAUAUUUGGACCAUUGGGAGGGAUCCAAGUGUAUGGUCAGAUAAUGUGGAAGAAUUCUACCCUGAAAAGUUUAUGAAUAAUAACGUUGACCUACGUGGACAUGACUUCCAGCUCAUACCAUUUGGGUCUGGUCGAAGAGGGUGCCCUGCUAUGCAAUUAGGGUUAACCACAGUUCGUCCUGUUCUGGGAAACUUGUUGCACUGCUUCAACUGGGAGCUCCCUAGUGGAAUGCUACCUAAAGACUUGGACAUGACUGAGAAAUUCGGCUUAUCGUUGUCGAAAGCCAAACACUUGCUUGCCAUGUCGACCUGUCGCCUGUACAAUGGAAGUUGAUGAUUGGUUUAUUACUUAAGCGUUGAUAGAUGUACUUAUUUCUAUUGGUCACACAUCAUUUAGUUUACAAUUUUAAUCUCUAAAUUUAGUUUCUGUAGCAUUACUCCCUUAAUAUAUAUAUAUAUAUAUAUAUAUAUAUAUAUAUAUAGUAUGUCUAGGCAUAAAUAAACAUUAAUUAACCGUAUAAUUUAGAUUAAUGCAAGUGUCUUGUAGCUCAAUUGAUUAAAAAUAUUAUUCCUUGCCCUUGAGGUCGCUUGUUCGAUUUUCCCUCCCGUAAAAAAUAAUUUGCUUGUCAUCAUGCCCACCUACGUACGUACCGCCUAAACGGUCAACCUUAGUAAGGGGUUGAAAUAAAUGUCUUGUAGUUAUAAUAGUGUUCCUUUGAGUAAUGUUAGAGAGACUAAAUUUGUAGACUAAUUUGCAAACUAAAUGAAAUGUCACAAAUAGGAAAUGAAUAUGUUUAUCAACGUUUAAAUGAUAAUCCAAUUAUCAACUUCCAUAUCAUUUAAUUUACAAAAUUUAAUCUGCCUAUCAUUACUCGUGUUCCUUUUGCCACCUCUGACUAGGAAAGAUUAAAAUAAUUACAUCGUUAAAGUGUUAACCAUAAUACGUUUUUCGUUCUCUUAAUUGAUCUUUAGAAUUAUCUUAUACGUUUUUCAUUCUCUUAAUUGAUGUACAAUUGGAGAUGGUUUAGAUUAAUAUUUCAAUAAUUGCGCCCUUUUUACUUACUUAUCUAAGUUUAUCACUUUAUGUGUGUUUCCCUAGUUUGUUUUGUCUUUUGGGUUUUGCACUUAGGUUUCAUUCAUUCGUUCAUUAUUUCUUUCAUUAUUUCUUUCUUUCCUUCUUCCCACCAUUCUUCUUUCUUUUUUCCCUUUAUAUUUUCUCCACAACUAAAACACAAAAUGUAGAAACUAAAAAUCAAAUAGUCAUCAGACGAGUGCUUAAAUUUUAUUCUCUUAAAAUAUACUUGUUCUCUGGAACUCUCUCAUGUAGCACCCAUCUCGCUAUUUUUUUCUUCUUAUAAUACCACGAUAUGUUGACACCAAAGGAUGAGACAAUAAAUCGGUAUCAAACUUGUCAUUCAUAAGAUUCGAACCUAAGACCUCUCACUUACAAGUGAAUGGUAGUAAAGGAGAAUAUUGUGGUAGCAAAAAUCUAUUGUUUUCGGCCUAGACGAAUUUUUACCUACAAAACAAAUAAACACCUGUGAUCAAAGACAAAGCCCCACACCCAAAGAGUGAGAGGUUUGGCCAAUGGAUCUUCAAUGCCUAAGUCAAUUUCUCUAAAAAGAGAGAGGUUUAGGGCUUAAUUGUGCAGCAAAAGUUUACUAAAAUUUGGUGGAGAAUGGGGUAUUUAUAGGAGCUAGGGUCGCCAUGGAGGAGAGAGAUCUCGCGCUAUGUAUCGUCAUCCAGUUGGCCAAGGUGUGUCAUCCGUUGGAUGGAGUAGGAAAGAAUUAUCCCAAUGAUAUUAUUGAAUAAAUAAUAUCUUAGAAUUAUCUUGUGGAUCCUUGAUUGGAUUUGAUGAAAAUUUCUUGCUUGAUUAUGUAUUGUAGUCAAAUCUCAUAUUUGCACUCGAAUAUAUCAAUGUUACGUAGGUGCAAUUAAGAUAUUUGCCCAAGUUUCAUAUAACCUAUCAGGCACAUGCUUUAACUAGCUUUGGCAAAAUUCUACGAAAAUUUACGAAACCACUAUUUUCAAAGAAUUUUUUUCCACACAACAAGCUUUUUAAAAUUCUUGCUAGACAAUGUAAAGAAGUCUGGAAACGAUAGUAAUGCCAAUUCCAAAGGGCAUUACGUUUUCCUUAUUACUGGCGUAAGGGUUGCAUUUUUCAUAAAAAUUAUUGCUCAUGCUUUUUAAUCGGUUUUUUAUAAACCAACAACAAUUCAUUUUAAAGACUAAGCCGAUCCGUUUACACAGGUAUAUGGUAAACUCCAUACAGUCGCCACACAGACAACGUUCCGUACGUUAUCUUGAAUAAUAGCCAUCGUCCCUUAGGUUAGGUGGAGACAAUCGCUCUGGUAAUGUCUCAUCCGCCAAAACACCAGAAAUUAACCGCAUGCAGUUUGGUUACUUUGGUAUUGCCAGCCAUUUGGUUCUUGUUCAUUUGUUCCUCCAUGUGAUGAACGUGAAAAGUUGAAAACACGGCAUAUAUGUACAACUAGAACAAGACAUGCAGUGUUACUUUCAACAGGUGGCACGUGCUUUGCUACCUCACACUAUCCUCAUUGAAUCCAUAUCCAUCCAUAUUCAAUCAACUCUUGUGCAUUAAGGAUCUUUACGCUUCUUCAAAAUUCUUUCUCUCAAUUUCAUGAAAAUUGCAGAGAGAUGGGCGUAGCUAUUAACAGAACUAUGAAUCUUUAAAGAACACUAUGAACAAGCAGAAAGAAAGAAAACGGAAGAACAAAGUAUAUCUAAUCUCUUAGUAAUGAAGUGUUUUUACAAAGCUUUUCUUACCGAAUGUGAAAAGAUCAAAUGGCUAUAUGUACUAACCAAUCACAAUCUACAAUUACAAUAUUAUCCUUUAACCUCCUUACUCAAUUACAAUCUUAUCCUCUUUAACAAACUCAAUUCCCAACUACCUUUGUAACUAACUUGACUUAUACCUCCUUGCCAGGUGUCAUUGGUUAAUACUCCCCCCUCAAACAUAGCUGGGGAAGUCCCAAGCUAUGGUUGUGAGUUGUUGUGAUCAUUGGAUGUAUGUGCACUUGAAAACUUCAACAUUGCUUGAUGGCUAUCCUGCACCCUGGAAUUGGAAGCUCCCAGUGUAAGAUUAAUACAAUGUUUGACAAAGAUCGGACUGUGAAGACCCUUAGUAAAUACAUCUGCAACCUGCUCUUCAGUUGGGAUAUAAUGCACAGUGAUAUCACCUUUCUGCACUUUCUCUCAAACAAAAUGAAAAUUGGUAUCUAAAUGUUUGAUCCGAGAAUGAAACACUGGAUUGGAGCACAGUGCUAAAGCAGAGAGAUUAUCACAAUGAAGUUUAGGUGGUAUUGGUAUAAACUGAUGCACAUUUUUUAGUAAUGACCUGAUCCAGUAGAUAUCAGCUACACAGUGAGCUAAAGCUUUGUAUUCAACUUCUGUUGAACUUCGAGAUACUGUAGCUUUUUUCUUUGACUGCCAUGAUACAAGAUUAGAUCCAAUAAACACAACAAAUCCAGUAAUAGAUCUCCUUGUAUUUAUAUCGGCUGCCCAAUUAGAAUCAAAAUAUGCAGCAAUUUGAAAAUCAGAUGUUUUGAUAUACUUCAAACCACAGUCUAAGGUUCCUUACAAAUAUCUCAUGAUUCGUUUCACCAGAUGCAUGUGCAAAUCUGUUAGAUGAGUCAUAUACUGACAAACAACAUUAACAGAAUGAGCAAUAUCUGGGCGAGUGAAGGUGAGGUACUGAAGGGCUCCCAUAAGACUUCGAUAAUGAGUAGGAUCAGCUAAACCAUUGCCUUCAUUCACAAGUAACUAAGAGUGAGGCUUAAAUGGUGUUGAUGUGGAUUUACAAUUCUCCAUCCCUGCUUUCUUGAGUAGCUCUUUGGCAUAUUUGGAUUGUGUUACCAUCAAUGAACCAUCAGAAUUAUAGUGAAUUUGCAAUUCCAAGAAAUAUGUUAAUCUGCCCAUAUCCUUUAAAUCAAACACUUCAGCAAGACUAGUGAUAACAAAUUGAAUCUUUUGGGAGGAUGAACCUGUGAGGAUAAUGUCAUCUAUAUAGAGAAGAAGUAGAAUAACAUCCCCAUCCCCAUCGUCAACAUUUACAAACAAACUAGAAUCGGAUAAUGCAGUUUUAAACCCAAGUGCACGAAGAAAGCUUGUAAAUUUUGAAUUCCAGGCCCUUGAUGCCUGUUUAAGACCAUACAAGGACUUAACUAACCGGCAAACAUGAUUUGGAUAUGUAGUAUCAAGAAACCCCUGUGGCUGCUUCAUAUAUACUUCUUCGUCAAGAUCACCAUGAAGGAAAGCAUUCUUGAUAUCCAAUUGUCUCAAGUUCCAAUUAAAUUGUACUGCCAAAGCAAGAAUUAUUUUGACUGUAGUAUGCCUGACCAUUGGACUGAAUGUCUCAGAAUAGUCCAAGCCCUUAUUUUGACUAAACCCUUGUGCCACUAAUCGUGCCUUAUACCUGGAUAUAGUGCCAUCUAAAUUUCGUUUGAUUUUAUAGACCCAUUUACUCCCAAUAACUUCUCUAUUGGAUGGAAGAGGAACUAGUCUCCAGGUCCCUUGAGCCUUUAAGGCAUCAAAUUCCUCCUGCAUAGCCUGCUGCCACUGAGUGACUUUUGAUGCAGCUCGAAAGUGUUUUGGUUCUUCACUCUCUCCAAUAUCAGCAAGGAAAGAGAAACCACAAUGAUCCAUUGUAGUAGCAGAGACUAAAGAAGGUCCAAUAUUAACAGAACUAUGAAUCUCUAAAGAACACUAUGAACAAGCAGAAAGAAAAAAAAAACGGAAGAACAAAGUAUAUCUAAUCUCUUAGUAAUGAACUGUUUUUACAAAGCUUUUCUUACCGAAUGUGAAAAGAUCAAAUGGCUAUAUGUACUAACCAAUCACAAUUUACAAUUACAAUAUUACCCUCUAACCUCCUUACUCAAUUACAAUCUCAUCCUCUUUAACAAACUCAAUUCCCAACUACCUUUGUAACUAACUUGACCUACACCUCCUUGCCAGGUGUCAUUGGUUAAUAGUAGCUGCAUGAGUACAAGUCGAAAUAUUAUUGUUUAUAUAAAACAAUUCAUAUAAAUUCGAUUUUUUUUUUUUUUGCGAUCAUUUGGUUAAAUUUCGUUUUGCAUGUAGUGGGGUAGAAUAGAAUUCUCUCCCCUCAUAAUCUCUCUUCUUUUUCCUCCUCUUCUAUUGGAACGGUUACGAUUAAGAAAAUUCUUGCUAAAAAAUGUAAAGGAGUUUGGAAACGAUACUAAUUAAGGUUUCCUUACUGGCUUUACAAAUUGCAUUUUUCACCAAAAUAGUUGCUCACGUUUUUUAAUCGAUUUUUCUAAAUAAAAAAAACAACAAUUCAUUUUAGAACUAAGCCGAUCUGUUUACACAUGUGUAUGUGUAAACUUCAUAUAGUCAGUGACAUACCCCGACCGAGAUCGAGGCAUGCUAGCCGUCAUGUGAGGGUGACGUAGCCACGUGCACAGUGCGGAAGCAAUAAAGAUAAGAAAUAUACGAAUAAAUAAAAACCGAAAGCUACUAAUGUGCACUAAUAAACAGGAAGUGCUAGGAGUGAGAUACAAGUGUAAAUACUCCUAAUCAGAGCAUAGAAAGUCUAGGUGCAGUCCAAUAGGACAAGUACUAGUUAUACAAUACCAGAAGAUGUCCUAUAAAUAUUUUAUUCUGUCAAAACUGCUAAGAUCCUCAAUGUCACCAACAACAAAUCUAACUAAAACCUAAAGGCGCACAAAACAGAAAAUAUGAGUGGGCACAAACAAAGAUUUUCAAAACCAUUUCAUUUAUCAAACGCUUUAACCACUCGCCGUAAAACAUGUAUAAUUUUUCCUAGAAAUAGAAUAUAAACAUAUGCAUAUAUAUAUAUAUAUAUAUAUAUAUCAAUUUAAAUGAUGCUUCACAUAACCAUAUUCAUAAGUAUGUCAUGCCAAAACAUAAAAUAGAAUAAGUAACUUAGGUGAGAAUAAAUUCAUGGAAAAUAACAUAUUAGCCGGAACCCCUGUAGAAGUUUGUACGGCUAAAUUCAUAGCUCAUUAGUCAAUCUAACCGGAGUCACUACAAUGACCUAUACGACACUACACUGCAUACAAGUCGGAACCACUAAAAUGGUCUGUACGACAAGACUGGGUGUAAUAUAAUUAUGCUCCAUACUACUCUCUCAUGAUAGCUGGGCGAUAAAUCGCUAGUCACCUACGAGUCGGAACCACCUAUGAUGGUCUAUAAGACAAGACUAUGCACCUAAAUUGGAUCCAAUGUGAGCAUAUGAUGCGGGAGGUGACAUUAUAAACAGGUUUGUGUCAUAUCUCUGGCUAAAUCACUAACACCGGGGUGUAGGUUUAUGAGCUCAAUAUUUCUCAAUUAAUCACAACCGUUAAUCACAUUCACAAUUCAUAAACUCACUCGGGCUUACCAGACCAUCCACAGCACCACAAUUAUAUAUAUAUAUAUAUGCAAACAUCAUAUGCAUAUUCUAAAUAUAAAACGUUUGGCAUAGAUCAAAUUAUAACUCAUUUAAAUGCAUUUUUUGGGAAAUAUCAAGCAUAUACAUAUAUACUUAAAACCAAAGCCCACUCACUGGUAUGUCGAAGGGUCGUAGCCCCCGAGUCACCCUUGACUGCGCUCGUCCUCGGGAUAAGUCUCCCCUAUAUGCAAAACAACUAUGAAAACGUUAAUUUAAAGCACAUAACCAAUACUAGCUAAUAAUUUCUCAUAAAUUGCUCUAAUGGGAUGUUUGAAUAUACCAACGCGAUCUACACAACCUCACGAACAUCCCCAUAGUUUUAAAAUAAUUUUUCAACAUCCCACGCGUCGGCAAGGGCACGACAACACGCGCAGCCAGGCGCAGGGACCCUAACGGAAUCCCUUAACCCCGUUAGGAAUAUUCCGUUAAAUAGUAACAGAAUCCGCUAAACUAACCAACGCUGUUAGGAAUAUUUGGUCAAAGUUGACGGAAUAUUCUAUCAUCUCCUACCUUCGAACUCCGGCAACCGUCGCCGUCGCCGUCGCAAAAAACUGGGAAAAUCUUAUAAUCCUUAUAUGUCUGUCGUUUCUUAACCAAAACUUAUGAAAUUGGUCUCAAUUUAAAGCUUAUAACUAGAAGAACACAUCCUUACCAAUUUCAAGGCUUGAAAUCCACGAAAGCUCGCCGGAGAGAGCUCGAUAAUUCCGGCCAAAUUUCAAACUCUCCAAACUCAACUUCCUGACGUCCAAUUUGCUUGAUUUUUCUUCUCUGAGCUUAGUACGAACGUCCUAAAGCUUCCUAUAAGCUUAAAAUCACCUGAAAUAUCCAUAAUUACGACCACAUGAACAGUACUCAAAUCGGGGGUGAUGGUUCCUCGGGUUUUUGAAGGUUUCACGAUUUACAAAUGGCAUAUAUGAACUCAGGGACUUGCAAGGAGUUCAAAUCUUACCUUCUUGACGUCGAUCCAUGCGUAAAAUGUGAGUUUGGAGUUCAUCCAUACAUUUUGUACGAAAAUGGUAUGAAGGCCGAGAGAAGGAGAGAACGCACGAGGUGUUUUUUGUGUGUGUGUGUGUGUGUGUCCUCACUUGGUCACCCAACAAAACAACACCUAAGUUUAAUUUUUUACUUGAGUCCAAAACUUAGGAACUCAACAUAGUAGUCUACAUUCCAAAAGCAUGUCACACACGUCACAAUCUUGACAUCCAAGGGUAAAAUCAUCAUUUCACACCGUCAAAACUAAAUGUUUCGGGACGGGCUGUGACAAUCUAAAUUGUCACAUCCUGGCCCGGUCCCCCACCAUAUCCCGGGCUCAACUCUGCCGUAGCACGAUAUUGUCCACUUUGGGCCCCGACCACGCCCUCACGGUUUUGUUUCUAGGAACUCACAUGAGAACUUCCCAGUGGGUCACCCAUCCUGAGAUUGCUCUCGUGCGAACUCACUUAACUUCAGAGUUCCAAUGGAACUUGAAGCCAGUGAGCUCCCAAAAGGCCUCUUGCUAGGUAGAGAUGGGAAUAUACAUAUAAGAUUUAGAUGAUCCACUCUCCUGGGCGAUGUGGGAUGUUACAGUCAGCACACAAACAAUGCUUCAUACGUUAUCUUGAACUAGCAUCUUGUCGUACGCGUAUGCAUGUUACAAAAUAUAUUAAGAAAUUCAAUUUUUUAUUUAUUUAUAUAUUUUUGAAAAUAAAUUAGAAGUUAAACAUAAACCAUCCACUAACAUGGGGUUUUGUUAUUUUUUUCUUUCUAAGUUUAAAAUUUUAAAUUCGUUCAAAAUUAAUAUUUGUUGAAUUAUUUUAACUCCUUUUAAUUCAAUAGUAAUUUAAAAAAAAAAUUGGAGGCAAUUUAUGGUAUUUUGAAAUUAACCUGCAUGCAUGCAGUUUGACUACUUUGGCCUCCCAGCCAGUCGGUUCUUGUCCAUUUUUUCCACCCUGUUAUGAAAGUGAAAUAUACCUAUAGCUAUAAUGUACUACGAGAACAUGAGACAUGCAGUGUUACUUUCAACAGGUGGUACGCCUUGCUACCUCACACUUAUCCUCCUUGAAUCCAUAUCUACACAUUCAAUCAACUCUUGUGCAUUACGUACGUCGCUAUGCUUCUUCAAAAGUCUCUCAAUUUCAUAAAAAUUGCAGAGCUGGGUGUAGCUACAUAAGCUGCAAAAGCACAAAUCGAAGUAUUAUUGCUUAUAUAAAAGAAUUCAUAUAACUUUGCUUUCUUCUUUUUUUUUUCUUUUUUUUUUUUAGACCAUACGGUUAAAUUUCAUUUUGCAUGUCUUAGGGUAAAGGGAGUUAUGAUUUUCUCUCCUUCUAAUCUCUCUCCCCUUUCUUCCCAUCUUAUUUGAAUAGUUACGAUUAAGUCAUAUCAACAUCUUAUAUUGAUUUCUUUAUAGAGAGAGAAAGACAAAGAUGAAAGUGUGAGAAGAGGGGAGGAAAAUGGGGAGGAUUAGGGGGGAAAGAAUUGUAGUCCAGGGUAAAGAACUCAUUCACAUGCAAGAUUUGAGUCCAUUAUCAAUCAGCCGUUGGAUCUUGAACUCUCUAUAAGUAUGAAACAAAAUGAGUCCAUCUAUCUCACCCAAAAAUCAAUAAAAAAAGAUUCCAUCAGAAAUAGCCAUCCUAAUCCUUGUAUUUCCUUGCCUUCCUGUGGUCUCUCCUCUGCAUCCUAAUCAAUGUCUUCUCAAGGAAAAGCAAAAAACUACCUCCUGGCCCUAGGGCACUACCAAUCAUUGGCAAUCUUCAUAUGCUAGGCGACCUCCCACACUGCAGCCUCCAAAACCUAGCAAAAAAAUAUGGACCUAUACUGUCGAUGCGUCUAGGGUUCAUACCAACCAUAGUGGUCUCAUCUCCCCAAGCAGCAGAGCUAUUCCUCAAAACCCACGACACCAUUUUUGCUAGCCGCCCCAACAUUGGUGUUAUGUGCCUUUCCUUAGUCCACUUGAUCUUCAGGUAUGUUACCCUUCAUUGUUAAUUACCAAACUUUACCCUUCAUUGUUAAUUACCAAACUUGUUACAUGAAAAAAGUAUCUAGGAGACCGGCCAAUGUCCACUUCUAACAAUACUAAUAUUGUCUUUAACUUGUUGAUUACUACAUGCUCAGUCCGACAAGUAUGAAGGUUUAUUAUAAAAGACUUCAGUAUUAGUUGAAAGAGUUAAAAUAUUUGAACUUUUUUUUUCUUUGUCUCUGUCCAAUGUCAGAUAGUUAAACAUACCCUCUUACGUAAGACCCAUUUAGUGGGUCAUACGUGAGAAAUCCACACAUCGGCAACCAUGUGGAGCCAAAUUAUAACCUCUCUAAAUAAUUAUUAAAAAAAUAAAUAAUUUAAUCAUAACAUUUGUAAAAUUUACUAUCGUUUCCAAACUUCUUUACAUUGUCUGGCAAGAAUUUUAACAAGCUUGUGGUGUGGAAAAAAAUUCUUUGAAAAUAGUGCUUUGUAUAAUUUUCUUAGAAUUUUGUCAAAACUAAUUAAAGCCUGUGUGUAACACUUUAGAUGAAACUUGGGUAAAUAUCUUAUGUUGCACCUGCGUAAAAUUGAUAUAUUUGAGUGAAUCACGUGGAAAAGUUGAAAACGCAGCAUGUAAGUACAACUAGAACAAGACAUGUUACUUUCAAAAGAUGGCACACGUAUCCUCAUGUUGUCCAUAUCCAUCCAUAUUCAAUGAACUCUUGUGCAUUCCGCCCCCACCCACCCACCACCCCCCACCCCAAAACCAAGAAAAGUGAAUCACGUGGAAAAGUUGAAAACACAGCAUGUAUGUACAACUAGAACAAGACAUGUUACCUUCAAAAGAUGGCACACGUAUCCUCAUGUUGUCCAUAUCCAUCCAUAUUCAAUCAACUCUUGUGCAUUCUUCUUCAAAAUUCUCUCUCAAUUUCAUGAAAAUUACAGAAGUAGGCGUAGGGUAAAGGGAGUAAAAUUGUAUCCCCUCUUUAUCUCUCUUCCUUUUUCUUCUCUCCAAUUUGAACGGUUUACAAUUAAACCAUGUCAACAUCUUUUAUUGACUUCUUUAUAGAUAGAGAAAGACAAAGAAAAAAGUGUGAGAGAAGGAAAGAAAAAGGGGAAGGAAUUAGGAGUGGAGACAAUCCUAAUGGAGGUUAAAGAACUCAUUUGCCACAUGCUAGCAUUUGGUAAUAUAUCAAUUAGUUGUUAGAUCUUGAACUCUCUAUAAGUAUCAAACAAAAUGAGUCUACAUGUAUAUAUAUGUGUGUGUGUCUAAUGUCCCAUUUAUCGAUCUCACCCAGAAAUCAUAUAAAAUGAGUCCUUCAGAAAUAGCCAUCCUCAUCCUUGUAUUCCUCACAUUCCUAUGGUCUCUCCUCCACCUAAUCAAUGCCUCCUCAAGGCAAAGCCGAAAACUGCCACCUGGCCCUACACCACUGCCAAUCAUUGGCAAUCUUCAUAUGCUAGGCGACCUCCCACACCGUAGCCUCCAAAACCUGGCAAAAAAAUAUGGACCUAUAAUGUCCAUGCGUCUAGGGUUCAUACCAACCAUAGUGGUCUCAUCUCCCAAAGCAGCAAAGCUAUUCCUCAAAACGCAUGACACCAUUUUCGCUAGCCGCCCCAAACUCCAAGCCUUCGAGUACAUGGCUUACGGCUCGAAGGUCAUGGCCUUUAUUGAAUAUGGGCCAUACUGGCGCCAUAUUCGGAAACUUUGCACACUUCAACUUCUUUGUCCCUCGAAAAUUGAGGGUUUUGCUCCGCUAAGAAGGGAGGAGGUAGGGUUGUUAGUGCAGUCCCUGAAGGUAGCUGCGGAGGGGGGCGAGGUGGUGGAUUUUAGUGAGAAGGUUGGUGAGCUUGUUGAGGGAAUCACGUAUAGGAUGGUGUUGGGGAGAAAAAAUGAUGAUAUGUUUGAUCUCAAGGGGAUUAUUGAGGAAGCCCUAUUCUUGACAGGAGCUUUCAACAUUAGUGAUUAUGUGCCUUUCCUUAGUCCACUUGAUCUUCAGGUAUGUUACCCUUCAUUCUUAACUACCAAACUUGUUAGAUGAAUCAAUAAUAAAACUAGGGAAAUGCUUGGACCACUGUAAAGUAGGGACAUUUAGAUUGCACGCACGCUAUUGCUAAGCACAAAUACAAAGUAGAGGCGUUGCAAAUAAGUGCAUGCACGUAUGCGCGACUGAUCUUAGCACUACUCCUCUAAAAAUAUUUGAACUCUAUUAUUUAGAUGACGUAUUUCGAUGGAUCCAUCAACAGGAGCAAAAGCAGUGUUAGCAAAUAAAGUGAACGAGAUUAACUCGUAGUUUUAGGAAACUGAGCUCGUUUGGAUGUAGUUUUAAAAUGACUAAAAGUGUUUUUGGUAAAAUUAUUUUUAGAAACAAUCCUUCAUAAAAACGCUAACAGAUCUUGGAAAAGCAUUUAAAGUGCUUUCUGGAAGAAGCAAGUAUAACUAGUGCUUCUUGUAGAAAGCACUUCAAAUAUUGCUUUUGGAAUCCAAAAACAAUUUUUCUAUAAGCGCUUUCAAUCAUUUUAAUAGCAUAUCCAAACUCAGCCAAUAACUAGUCCGCAUUCGUACAAAUUAAUCUGAGAGGAAUAUCUGUUUACCUUAGCCAGCUAACUUAUCGUCUUUUUGCUGGUGAUAUGAUUCACAAAGUCUAAGCAUCCACAAAUUAUAAAUGCAAUACCAUAUGAUUCAUAUCGUAUGGUCCAUUCCAUAGCCUGCUGACGAUAAACUAUCUUCUAAUUCGAGAUGUAGAAACAUAUUUACAUCUUAUUUUAUAGUUUCAAGAGGUGUAGAUGGAAGUUCUAUGCUAAUGAGAGUGAUGUAAAUUUGAGCUUUUAUUUAAUUUUCUCUCUUAGAGUAGCGGAGUCCACCAUAAAAAAAAUAUACAUCCAUAUAUAUAAGUUCUUAUUUAUAUUUUCCAAAUCAAUAUUUUACAUCUUUCUGACCAACUUAAAGUAUUAAAUACAAAUUGCUCCCUAUCUUAUGCAUUUGGUUGCCAAUGCCAUCCGGGAUAUUAUUACAAUAGCAAUGGAUUUAAUGCACAAUUCAUUAUUUUAGGAACCUUAAUUUCUGCAAUCAACUAUACAAAUUUAAAAUAUAUUCAACAGGCUCUUUUAAGGGAAGAUCUCCAUUUAAAAAAUAAAUAAAAAAUAAAAAUUAGUUGUAGGGCUCAUCCCACAUCAAACUUCAAUAAUAAGAAUUGUCUAUAUUUUAUCUCUAUUCAUAGGUCAUUCUUGCAAAAAAACAAUUCAAUCCGAAAUCAUUUGGUCAUUUGAUUGUCACGAUGAAAUUUUAAAGUUUCUUAUAACAUAAUGUUCGUCAAUGUCUUGGAGCUCAAUUAGAUUAAUUGAUGCCUCAAACAUUUUUUAUUUGGCUAAUUUUGCAAGAAUGAUUUAAGAGGUACAACUUGAAUUGAAAAUAGACAAUUCGGAUAUCAUUGAAGUUCAAUGUCGUAUAAGACUGCACAAGUAAUCUAAAAAAUGAGAAUCCCUUCCCUUAAAACCAUAUGUUACAUGUAUGUUUUUUUUUUCUUCUUAUCCUUCAUAAAGGAUGUAAUACUAGUAAUAAGGAUUUUAUUUUACCAUUGAAAAUGAGGAUUUUACAAAAAUUCAAAAGAUAAAAUGCUAGUAAAUAUGUAGAUAUAGAUUUUGAGGCCUUACGUAGUUGGGUAAAAUUGAGUUUAAUUCCAAUUUUAUAAGAAUCAAACUCCUAGGGUGGAAAAUUUGCAUUUUACAUGAGUGACUCCGAUUAUUGAGUUUAAUAAUUACCAAUGACUUUAAUUCCAAUAAAUGAUCAACCAUUUGACAGAGAAAAAUAGAGAUUAAUACAUAAAAUAAGGAAAACAAAAGUCCAAUAAUAUUAUAGGAAUCAAACUCAACGUACAUGAUUAUAUGUGGGAAUGAAACUAAACAAAACUAACGUUUCUCUCUGUAAUUGUUCUUUCAUCUCAGAAAAAAGGGUUGCACAUGAUCCCUUAUACCCAUGUGAGUGUGUCACCGUAUAUGCCUAUCCUCACCCAAAAGUUACUCCAAAAAUACAAGAUGUAAUAGCUUUUAUAUAUGCAUGCAUGUCUUGUCCAUUUCAUUGUCUAAUAAAAAUGAUAGCUACAGUACUCAACUAGAAGUACAUAUGAUUGAUUGAUUGUAUGGAAUAUUAACUAUUUCUUCCACUUAGGGAUUGACCAAGCGCAUGAAGAGAGUUAGCAAAAUUGUCGACCAACUACUCGAAAAGAUAAUUCAGGAUCAUGAACAAGUUUCCAGAAGUGAGGUACAAGGCAAUCAUCAUAAGGACUUUGUAGACGUGCUACUUUCAUCAAUCCACCAACCAUUAAACCCCAACAAUGAGGAAGUCUACAUGCUCGAGCGAACAAAUGUCAAAGCCAUUUUACUCGACAUGAUUGUGGGUGCCCUUGACACCUCAACCACGGCAAUUGUCUGGACCCUGGCCGAACUCUUGAGGCACCCGAAAGUAAUGAAACGUCUCCAAGAAGAGCUCAAGAGUGUGAUCAGGAUGGAUCGAAUGGUGGAAGAAAGUGAUUUGCCAAAGCUGGAUUACUUGAGCACGGUUGUCAAGGAUAGCUUAAGGCUACACCCAAUUGCCCCAUUACUAGUCCCUCAUCAAUCCAUGGAGGACAUUACAGUUGAUGGAUAUCACAUACCUAAGAAAUCAAGAGUUUUUAUCAAUAUUUGGACCAUUGGGAGGGAUCCAAGUGUAUGGUCAGAUAAUGUGGAAGAAUUUUACAAUGAAAGGUUUAUGAAUAAUAACGUUGACCUACGUGGACAUGACUUCCAGCUCAUACCAUUUGGGUCUGGUCGAAGAGGGUGCCCUGCUAUGCAAUUAGGGUUAACCACAGUUCGUCUUGUUCUGGGAAACUUGUUGCACUGCUUCAACUGGGAGCUCCCUAGUGGAAUGCUACCUAAAGACUUGGACAUGACUGAGAAAUUUGGCUUAUCGUUGUCGAAAGCCAAACACUUGCUUGCCAUGCCGACGUGCCGUUUGUACAAUGGAAGUUGAUGAUUGGUUUAUUAGUUAAGCUUUGAUAGAUGUGCCCAUUUCUAUUGGUGACACAUCAUUUAAUUUACAAUUUUAGUCUCUUUAGCAUUACUCCCUUAAUAUAUAUAACAUUAAUUAACCAUAUAAUUUGGAUUAAUGCAAGUGUCUUGUAGCUCAGUUGAUUAAGAAUAAUAUUCCUUGCACUUGAGGUCACUUGUAUAUAUAUAGUAUGUCUAGGCAUAAAUAAACAUUAAUUAACCGUAUAAUUUGGAUUAAUGCAAGUGUCUUGUAGCUCAGUUGAUUAAGAAUAAUAUUCCUUGCACUUGAGGUCACUUGUAUAUAUAUAUAUAGUAUGUCUAGGCAUAAAUAAACAUUAAUUAACCAUAUAAUUUGAAUUAAUGCAAGUGUCUUGUAGCUCAGUUGAUUAAGAAUAAUAUUCCUUGCACUUGAGGUCACUUGUUCGAUUUUCUCUCCCGUACAAAAUAAUUUGCUCGUGAUCAUGCCCACCUACAUACGUACCGCCUACACAGUCAACCUUCAUAAAGGGUUGAAAUAAAUGUCUUGUAGUUAUAAUAGUGUUCCUUUGAGUAAUACUAGAGAGACUAAAUUUCUAGACUAAUUUGCAAACUAAAUGAAAUGUCACAAAUAGGAAAUGAAUACGUUUAUCAACGUUUAAAUGAUAAUCCAAUUAUUAACUUUCAUGUCAUUUAAUUUAUAAAAUUUAAUCUGCCUAGCAUUACUCGUGUUCCUUUUAUGCCACCCCUGACUAGGAAAGAUUAAAGUAAUUACAUCGUAAAAGUGUUAACCAUAAUACGUUUUUCGUUCUCUUAAUUGAUCUUUAAAAUUAUCUUAUACGUUUUUCAUUCUCUUAAUUGAUGUUUAAAGUUAUCUUACAAAAAGCUAAUACAAUUGGAGAUGGUUUAGAUUAAUAUUUCAAUAAUUGCGCCCUUUUUACUUACUUAUCUAAGUUUAUCACUUUAUGUGUGUUUCCCUAGUUUGUUUUGUCUUUUGGGUUUUGCACUUAGGUUUCAUUCAUUCGUUCAUUAUUUCUUUCAUUAUUUCUUUCUUUCCUUCUUCCCACCAUUCUUCUUUCUUUUUCCCCUUUAUAUUUUCUCCACAACUAAAACACAAAAUGUAGAAACUAAAAAUCAAAUAGUCAUUAGACGAAUGCUUAAAUUUUAUUCUCUUAAAAUAUACUUUUUCUCUGGAACUCUCUCAUGUAGCACCCAUCUCGCUAUUUUUUUCUUCUUAUAAUACAAUGAUAUGUUUACACCAAAGGAUGAGACAAUAAAUCGGUAUCAAACUUGUCAUUCAUAAGAUUCGAACCUAAAACCUCUCACUUACAAGUGAUGGGUAGUAAAGGAGAAUAUUGUGGUAGCAAAAAUCUAUCGUUUUCGGCCUAGACGAAUUUUUACCUACAAAACAAAUAAACACAUUUGAUCAAAGACAAAGCCACGCGCCCAAAGAUUGAGGGUGGGAGGUGUUUGGCCAAUGGAUCUUCAAUGCCUAAGUCAGUUUCUCUAAAAGGAGAGAGGUUUAGGGCUUAAUUGCGUAUCAAAGGGCUACUAACUUUGGUGGAGAAUGGGGUAUUUAUAGGAGCUAGGGUCACUGUGGAGGAGAGAGAUCUCGCGCUAUGUAUCGUCAUCCAGUUGGCCAAGGUGUGUCAUCCGUUGGAUGAAGUAGGAAAGAAUUAUCCCAAUGAUCCACUACUACAAUAUAGGCUAUCACCGGCGGAACAAAAACCGACAAGAAACCCGAUUUCUGUCGAAAAUUUGGCAAAAAUCCGACAUAAAACAGUGCAAUGUCGGAGUGGAAUAGCGACACCAUUGCUACCGUCAUAAAAGGGCUUCAGUGUCGGUUUGAUAGCUUAAUCCGCCACUAAGCAACAUCGGUUUAAAGCGACACUGACAGCAACGUCGGUUUAAAGCGACGCACACUCAAACCUUACAUCGGUUUAAAGCGACGUUAUAUAAUGUUAGAGUAAAUGUAGAAUUAUGGAGAAUAAUCCGAAUAAUGACUUUGAGGUACGACUUGAAUCGUUUCCUUAAAGUGUUAUUUGCCCCCACUCGAAUGAGUUUGCUAAAGGGUUCUUGGCAAAUCACUUCCAGGAUACAACAAAGUAUGGAAUAUUCAAUUAGCAAAACCGAAUUAUAUUCCCUUAGAAAUAACUAAAAAGAAAUUGUAUGAAUGUGAUGUUGAGAGAAAAGAGAACAAAGAAAUUAUGUAGAUAACUAAAUUCUGAAUAAUUGUGUAUGAAACAUUAUACCACAACAUGUAUUUAUAGACAUCAAAGUACCCGUUCAUCGAGCCAUUUCAUUUUAGUUGAAGACACACAACUCUUCUUAAUAGUGUUGACCCAAAAGACAUGUGUUCUAUUUAGAAUUUUCAGAAAAUAAAUAUUGACUAAUUAUAUCCUUUAAUUCUACUCAUACAAUUUGAGUAAACAUCAUAUCUUUUAACCAAAAGUUGUAAUUCAACCAAAAGGUACAAGGUUGAAUUAAAUCCAACCUUUCAAUACAUGUUGCCGCAUGCAUGUUGCGGAUGGCAGCAGCACUAGGUCAUAUAUAUUUAUAUAUUCAUAAAUAUUAUAUAUUAAUAUAUAUAUAUAUAUAUAUUAAUAAUAAUAAUUAUUAUUAUUAUUGAAAUCUCUAACAAUCCUUCCCAAUUUCAAUAAUAUGGUAAAUGAUAUUACAAUAAUUCUCUCUUUAUAAUUAUCACAAGCAUACCGAUAUAAUCAUGCAUACAAUAAAGGUGUCUUUCGAAUUAAACCUUUAAUUAGUGUAAGUAACUCAAAGUUAUAACGAAUGCAAUGGUGACUUAAGUUUAAACCAACUAUUCUUAUGUUAAAACCGGAAUCACCACACACAUGAUUAUGUCUUAUUUCCUUAAAGAAAUUACUGAACUAAUUAAGCACUAUUUAUGGCUUUGUGCUUCAUCCUGGUUUCAUAAACAUUUACAAGAGAAAACCCAACUCUUGGCAGAAGCGGCACCACUUCUUAUGUUUAUAUAGGUGAGGUUCCUUCCCAUGUCCCUACUACUAUAGACAUAACUACAAAUAACCUCAUUAAGAGUUAAAACUAUCCUCCUAAACGUAGCAGUCUUGCACUGAUCAUCCUGGAAUGAGCUAUAUAAUAAUUUUCAGUGCUUACACAACCACUUAACAAUAACUUGUUAUUACCCAUUAAACUUUUAAACUAGUGAUGUUCUAGACAAAGUCGGGUUACCAUUAUUGGUGGCUAAUUUUCAGUAAAGGGUUUUAGCCCCAUUCCACUAGAUGUACUAACUACCAAAGCUCUUGAAAGUGAUUUCGUUAACGGAUCCGCCAAGUUAUUACUUGAUUUAACAUAAACAAUAUUAAUAACUCCAUCAGUUAUUAAUUGCUUGACAUAUUCAUGUCUCAAGCUAAUAUGUCUAGACUUUCCAUUGUAUACCUUAUUGUAUGCUCUAGACAAAAUAGCUUCACUAUCACAGUAUAAAGAAAUGGAUGGCAUUGGUUGUGGCCACAACUCUAUUUCCAAUAACAAAUUUCUAAUCCAUUCCGCUUCUUUACCUGCUGCUGCUAAUGCUAUAAAUUCAGAUUCCAUAGUUGAAUGUGCUAUACAUGUUUGCUUCUUCGAAGCCCAAGAAAUUGCUCCUCCGGCAAUUGUAAAAAUCCACCCUGAUGUAGACUUAUUAUCAUUAGCACUUGUUAUCCAACUUGCAUCUGAAUAUCCUUCAAGUACUGCUGGAAACUCAGAGUAAGUUAAACUCAGGUUAAUAGUUCUUUUAAGAUAACCAAAAAUUCUAUUUAUUGCUUUCCAAUGAGCAGUACCUGGAUGACUAGUGUAUCUAGAAAGUUUGCUUACUGCAAAUGCGAUAUCUGGCCUGGUACAAUGCAUGGCAUACAUUAAACUUCCGAUUACACUAGCAUACUCAAGCUGUGCAACAGACCUACCAGAAUUAUUAAGCAAAGUUUCACUAUGGUCAUAAGGGGUAUUUGCUUCUUUAUUUGUAGAUGCUUAAACUUAAGAAGCAAUUUUUCUAUAUAAUGUGACUGACACAAAGCGUAACCCCUACUAUGCUUCUUUACUUUAAUUCCCAAGAUAGUAUCUACUUCAUUCAAAUCCUUCAUCUUGAAUUUUGAAUUUAGAUACUCUUUAGUUUCAGAUACACCUUUCAUGUUUGUACCAAAAAUUAGCAAGUCGUCGACAUAUAAACAUAUAACAACACCAUAAUCAUUUGUGAAUUUAGAGUAUAUGCAUUUAUCAGCACUGUUAUGUCUAAAUCCAUAUGAUAAAAUGACAAAAUCAAACUUUUCAUGCCAUUGUUUUGGUGCUUGCUUCAAUCCAUAUAAUGACUUUACUAAUUUACAAACCUUCUUUUCAUUCCCAGGGAGAACAAACCCUUCUGGUUGUUCCAUAUAGACUUCUUCAUCUAAAUCACCAUUUAAAAAUGCUGUUUUCACAUCCAUUUGAUGCACAUGCAAAUUAUAUAAAGAUGCCAAUACAAACAAUAUUCUAAUUGUGAGCCUAGCUACUGGUGCAUAUGUAUCGAAAUAGUCAAUUCCUUUUUUCUGCUUAAAACCUUUGGCAACUAGCCUGGCUUUAAAUGUUUGAAUAGACCCGUUUGUAUUGUAUUUUCUUCUAAAUACCCACUUACAACCUAUUGCUUUUGAUCCUUGGGGCAAGUCUACUAAAACACAUGUCUGAUUAGAUAGUAAUGAUUCAAAUUUAUCAUUUAUAGCCUCUUUCCAAAAGGCUGCAUCUCUUGAAGUCAAUGCUUCGCUUAGACUUUUAGGAUCAUCCUCAACAUUCAACAAUAUGGGUAUAUUCUUAAGAACCUUUGUUCUAUUUCCUUCGACUAAAAAUACAAUAGAUUGAGAUGAAAUAAAAUCAAAGCCUAGAGUCUUUUCUUUUCUUACCCUUUGGCUUUUCCUUGGUUCAUUAACAGUUUCAGACUGUUUUCUUUUCUCACCUUGAGAUUGACUAGUAGACGGAUUAGAGAAAUGUGUUUGAUCAUUCUCUUUUUCAGACACUGAGUAGUCAUUAUAGAAUUUAUUUUCUAUAAAUUCGACAUUUCUAGACUCAACUAUUGUGUUCGAGUCUAAAUUAAGCAACCUAUAUGCCUUUGAAUUUUCUGCAUAUCCUACAAAUAUGCUUUUAAUUCCUCUUGGACCCAACUUGGAUCUCUUAGGAUCGAGUGCCUUAUAAAAAGCUACACAACCCCAUACUCUCAAAUAUGACAAAUUUGGUUUUCUUCCUUUCCAAAUUUCAUAUGGUGACACAUGUGUCUUCAUAGAUGUAAUUCUAUUGUGUAUAUGGCAUGCAGUAAACAAUGCUUCACCCCAUAAAUAUUUUGGAGUAUUAGCAUUAAUCAUCAUAGAAUUAAUCAUUUCAGUGAGUGUUCUAUUUUUUCUUUCUGCCAAACCAUUUUGUUGUGGUGUAUAGGGUGCAGUUCUUUGAUGUACAACACCAUGCUCUUCACAAAAAAUAUCAAAUUCAUGUGAAAAAUAUUCACCACCUCUAUCACUACGAAGGCAUUUAAUUUUCCUUCCCUUUUGGUUUUCAACUUCAGCCUUAUAGCGCUUAAAGCACUCAAAAGCUUCAUCUUUAUUAGACAAUAAAUAAACAUAAGUAAAUUUAGAACAAUCAUCUAUAAAUGUGAUAAAAUAUCUUUUUCCUCCUCUUGUUAAAACACCAUUAAAUUCACAUAUGUCAGAAUGUAUUAAGUCUAAUAAAUUUGUAUUUCUUUCGGUAGUUGGAAAAGGUUUUUUAGUCAUUUUCGCUUGAAUACAUGUUUCACAUUUAUUAUUAUAAUCAUCAUUGCAAGUAAUAAAACCAAGUGUGCACAUGUAUUUUAAAGAUCUAAAAUUUAUAUGUGCUAAACGUAAAUGCCAUAAAUGAGAGGAAGAUUCAACAAUAUAAACAGAAGAAUUCACUUUAUUAUUGAUACUUAGUUUGAACAUCCCAUCACAAGAAUAUCCCUUCCCAACAAACAUCCCAUUUUUCGACAUUAUUAACUUGUCGGACUCUAGAACAGUCUUUACCGUUCUUACAUAAUAAAUUUGUAGACACAAGAUUCUUUCUAAUUUCUGGAACAUGCAGUACAUUAAGCAACGUCAAUUUCUUCCCAGAAGUAAAUUGAAGUUCAACGGUUCCUUUUCCUAGAACUUUGGCGGAAUUAUGAUUCCCCAUUAAAACUUCUUGAUUUUCCGUUGAUGCUUCAUAUGUCUUGAAUUGUGCCUUGUCAUUGCACACAUGUAUAGUAGCCCAUGAGUCGAGCCACCAAUCGGAGGAUUUUAUUACCGCUGCCAUAUUCAGUUCGGUAAUCAUGCCAAUAUGCAUCAUUGAUACCAUUGCAACAAUGUUAUCAAUUCCAGAGUUUUCCACCAUAUUUGCGCUAUUGGUCUUAUUGGCAUAUUCCUCACUUGCUUUUCUAUGUCUACAAUCACGAAUGUAAUGGCCUUUCUUUCCACAAUGGUAACAUACACCAUUUGCAUUCUUUUGAUUGUUGUUGGAAUUGGUUUUCUUAAACUUCCCUUUGUCAAUUUUGACUUUGAAGUUCUUUUUAUAUUUGUUUCCUUCGACAAUGUGAACUUUAGAGAAAUCUUGAUUUGCAAAAUUCUUAUCACGAUUUCGAGUUUCCUCUUCAAUUUGAAUACCCUUUUGCAAAUUCUCCAAACUAAUAUCUUCCACCAUGUGUAGAAGUUUCUUUCUAUAGUUAUUCCAUGUUUGGGGUAAUUUUGCCAUAAUAGCUCCAACUAUCAUAGGAUCCGGAAUAACUAUUUUAAGUUCACGAAGCUUUGAGACCAAGACCAAUAAUUCAUGAACUUGGUCUAGGAUGGGUUUGUUAUCAAACAUAGUGAAUUCAUAAUAUUUGAACAUUAAAAAUUUAUCGGUACCUCUUUUUUCCGUUGUGUACUUGUGUUCAAGUGCUUCCCAAAUUUCCUUUGGAGAUUGAAUGUGUGCAUACAGGUCAUAUAAACGAUCAGAUAAUGUGCCCAAGAUGUGUCCUCGACAUACCAAUUCAUCUUCUUCACGCUUCUUUCGAUCGGCAACUAUGUUGUCCGAGUCUUUGUCACUUGGUUCACGAAUAGGCUCCAAUUUCGGGUCCAACACAUAUAUGACAUUUAGAACAGUAAGCAUGAAACGCAUCUUGUCCUUCCAUCGGGUGAAAUUUGAUCCAUCAAAUUUGUCUAACUUGUAGACAUCUUGAUUGAUAAUCUUCAUAGCCAUGUUAUCAGAUUUGUUAUCCAUGAUGAAAAUAACACUUUAAGAUUGUUAGAGUAAAUGUAGAAUUAUGGAGAAUAAUCCGAAUAAUGACUUUGAGGUACGACUUGAAUCGUUUCCUUAAAGUGUUAUUUGCCCCCACUCGAAUGAGUUUGCUAAAGGGUUCUUGGCAAAUCACUUCCAGGAUACAACAAAGUAUGGAAUAUUCAAUUAGCAAAACCGAAUUAUAUUCCCUUAGAAAUAACUAAAAAGAAAUUGUAUGAAUGUGAUGUUGAGAGAAAAGAGAACAAAGAAAUUAUGUAGAUAACUAAUUUCUGAAUAAUUGUGUAUGAAACAUUAUACCACAACAUGUAUUUAUAGACAUCAAAGUACCCGUUCAUCGAGCCAUUUCAUUUUAGUUGAAGACACACAACUCUUCUUAAUAGUGUUGACCCAAAAGACAUGUGUUCUAUUUAGAAUUUUCAGAAAAUAAAUAUUGACUAAUUAUAUCCUUUUUGCGGAUGGCAGCAGCACUAGGUCAUAUAUAUUUAUAUAUUCAUAAAUAUUAUAUAUUAAUAUAUAUAUAUAUAUAUAUUAAUAAUAAUAAUUAUUAUUAUUAUUGAAAUCUCUAACAUAUAACAAUUAAAUAAUAAAAUACUCAAACUAGUGACGCUUUAAAGCAACACCAACUUUGAUAAUAAUAAUUAGAUAACAAUUAAAUAAAUAAAAUACGCAAACUAGUGACGGUUUAAAGCGACACCACCAUUGAUAAUCUUAAUAAAAAAAAUCUGAAUCCCUUUCUGUAUUCGUUCUCAUAUAAUUAUAACUCAAAAAAAAUUAUAUAAUCGCAUUUUUUUGGCCAAAACAAACCAUAAUAAUUUUGACCAAAAAAAAAACAAUAAUAAAAAUAAUUCAAAAGAAAAAAAGUGCCAUAAUAAAAAAAUCUGAAUCCCUUUCUGCUUGUUCUUUAGGUCUGCUAUCCGUUUAUUAUUAUUUUUGUCCCUCAUUUUCAACUCAUUGUUUUGAGUCAACAGCACUGCCAUUGCACUCUUAGAUGACCUCUUGGAGGAAUUUGAUGUAGAAGAUGAAGAAGAUGCAUAGGACACCAUAUCAGGAGUCACCCAUGAUCAUAUCCUUUGACUUUAUUAUGAUUCUCAGGACCCAUUGUAUCAACAUACACUCAGGUCCUAAGCUCUUCUUAUCCUCUUGGCCAGUCUCAAUCAAAGUUUGUAGACUGCUCUCCAUUGUUGCCUUGCAUUACAAUUUAAAAAAAAAAUAUUCAAACAAUCGUAAAUCAGAAAAAUAAGCUAUAAAAAUUAAUAACAAUGAUAUACUAACACGAUAAAAAUAUUCAAACAAUCGUAAAUCAGAAAAAUCAAGUUAAUCAAUUACUAUUACAAUCAUUGACUUAUAUUUUUAUUUUUAAGUCACAAUAAAAAUAUCUAUACCUUUAUUCUAUUCCAAAAAACUUCCUUAACUUCUUCAUCAAUCUUACGCCAAUCCCUCUUCAACGGGAGAUUUAUGUGGUCUCUAUCCUCUGUUGCAACAUACUUUGAAUAUGCACUAGAAUUAUUGACACACCCCGAUCCUAGAAUCAAGGCGUGCCUCACACCUUGAUUCUAGGAUCGGGGAGUGUCAAUUAUCACUAAUGCAUUUUCCGGACACAUCAAACGAACAAAGUUGCUUUGUCUAUUUAGGAAUUGAGGAUCCGCGCCUCCGUUGAGAUAUUCCUUAUUAACACAAAAAAAAAAAAGGCAAUUAGAAACCAAGAAACAAAUGUAAAUUUUCAGUUAAUGCACAAUACUAGUUUAAACACAAAACAAAAACGGAAAUUAAAAAUAACUCAAAAUAGAACCACCUUCGAACCUUUCAAAUGAAGUUCCUAAGAACGUUGAUCUUCACUAGAAUUAUCCAUAGCAAAAUUAGUGGAAGGAGGAAGAGAAUGGCUGAAAUGGGCGAGAGAGAAAUGAAAGAGAAUUGGAAGCACAGUCGUGUUGGGAAAGAAGGGCAUUUAAAUAUGGAAAAAAACUUAACGUCGGUUUAAAACCGACAGUAUCCAUAACUGCGUUGAAAUUUGAACGCAUAACGUCGGAAUAAUAAAAUUUGGCGUCGGUUUAAAUCGACAGUAAGACUGACACAACCUAAAAAGACGAGGCAUGACGUACAUUUGACUGAAAUCCUGACUCACUCUGACUGAAAGGGUUGGCAUCGAAAUAGGACAAGUUUGCGUCAGAUUAAACAGACGUUAGUCUGACAUAGUUGACUGUCAUAGCAGGUGGCCUCAAAAUGGGAAAUGGGACAAGUUUGCGUCGGUUUAAGGGAAAGGUUGCGUCGGUUUUAACCGACGCAAAAUCUUACAUUGACAGAACUAGCGUCGAAAUAAGAAAAGGUUGCGUCGAAGUAAGUAAAUGUUGCGUCGGAAUAAGUAGAGGUUGCGUCGGUUAAAACCGACGCAAGGUCUAACAAACGUCGGAAAAUUCAUUUCAAACAUUUCAAACAUUCAUUCCCGCCUAAAACAUUUCAAACAUAUUUCAAACAUUUCAUUUCCGCCUAAAACAUUUCAAACAUUCAUUCCCGUCUAAAAUAUUUCAAGUUAUCUCAUAUAAUAUUUUAAUAAAUAAUAUUUAAUACAUAAUUAAAAAACAAUAAUAUAAUUAUAUGAUAAAGCAAUAAAUAAUAUUUAAUAUCAUGAUAUUAUUGAAUAAAUAAUAUCUUGGAAUUAUCUUGUGGAUCCCUGAUUGGAUUUGAUUAUAAUUUCUUGCUUGAUUAAGUAUUGUAGUGAAAUCUCAUAUUUGCACUCGAAUAUAUCAAUGUUACACAGGUGCAAUUAAGAUAUUUGCCCAAGUUUCAUAUAACCUGAUAGGUACAUGCUUUAAUUAGCUUUGGCAAAAUUCUACGAAAAUUUACGAAACCACUAUUUUCAAAGAAUUUUUUUCCACACAAGAAGCUUUUUAAAUUUCUUGCUAGACAAUGUAAAGAAGUCUGGAAACGAUAGUAAGGCCACUUCCAAAAGGCAUUACAUUUUCCUUAUUACUGGCCUUACGAGUUGCAUUUUUCAUAAAAAUUAUUACUCAUGCUUUUUAAUCGGGUUUUUAUAAACCAACAACAAUUCAUUAUAAAGACUAAGCCGAUCCGUUUACACAGGUCUAUGGUAAACUCCAUACAGUCGCCACACAGACAACGUUCCGUACGUUAUCUUGAAUAAUAGCCAUCGUCCUUUAGGUUAGGUGGAGACAAUCGCUCUGAUAAUGUCUCAUCCGCCAAAACACAGAAAUUAACCGCAUGCAGUUUGGUUACUUUGGUAUUGCCAGCCAUUUGGUUCUUGUUCAUUUGUUCCUCCAUGUGAUGAACGUGAAAAGUUGAAAACACGGCAUAUAUAUGUACAACUAGAACAAGACAUGCAGUGUUACUUUCAACAGGUGGCACGUGCUUUGGUACCUCACACUAUCCUCAUUGAAUCCAUAUCCAUCCAUAUUCAAUCAACUCUUGUGCAUUAAGGAUCUUUACGCUUCUUCAAAAAAAUUUCUCUCAAUUUCAUGAAAAUUGCAGAGAGAUGGGCGUAGCUGCAUGAGUACAAGUAGAAAUAUUAUUGUUUAUAUAAAACAAUUCAUAUAAAUUCGAUUUUUUUUUUUUUUUUUGCGAUCAUUUGGUUAAAUUUCGUUUUGCAUGUAGUAGGGUAGAAUAUAAUUCUCUCCCCUCAUAAUCUCUCUUCUUUUUCCUCCUCUUCUAUUUGAAUGGUUACGAUGUCAACAUCUUUUGUUGACUCCUUUAUAGAGAGAAAGUGUGAGAAUGAGAGUAGAUUAGGAGUUAGGAGGGAGAGAAUACUAGUACAGGGUAAAUAACUCAUUUUAAACAUAGAUUUGACUCCAUUUGGUAAUAUACCAAAAUCAUUUUAAACAUGCAAGAUUUGACUCAAUAGGUUAAAGGGAGUAAGAUUCUCUCCCCUCAUAAUCUCUCUCCUCUUUCCUCAUCUUCUAUUUGAAUGGUUACGAUUGAGUUAUGUCAACAUCUUUAGUUGAUUUCUUUAUAAAGAGAGAAAGACAAAGAAGAAAGUGUGAGAGAAUGAGAGUGGAUUAGGAGUUAGGAGGAAGAGAAUGCUAAUACAGGAUAAAGAACUCAUUUUAAACGUACAUUUGACUCCAUUUGGUAAUAUAUCAAAGUCAUUUUAAACAUGCAAGAUUUGACUCCAUUUGGUAAUAUACAUAUUAAACAUAGAUUUUACUCCAUUUGGUAUUAUUAAGCAUUGAAUCUUUGAAAGAGAAACUUUUGUAUUGAUUUCAGACUAAGUAAUUACAAUGAAGCAAACACACAUUAUAUAGCUUGCAGUAGCUUGCAAUGUAAGCAAAACCGGUUACAACAACCCUAACUAACAUAACUGUCAAUAGCCUAACUAACUGCUAGCUAAGCUGAGCUGCAGUGCAGUGCCUGCCAGCUGUCAUUACUGUCAACAAAUAUCUCAUUCGCCAAAACACCAGAAAUUAACCUGCAUGCAGUUUGGCUACUUUUUUGGUAUUGCCGGCCAUUUGGUUCUUGUCCAUUUUCCCCCCAAUGUGAAUCACGCGAAAAGUUGAAAACACAGCAUGUACAACUAGAACAAGACAUGCAGUGUUACUUUCAAAAGAUGGCACACUAUGCUACCUCACACUUAUCCUCAUGUUGUCCAUAUUCAAUCAACUCUUGUGCAUAAAAGGGAUGGAAAGGAAGGAAGAAAUUCUCCAGGAUGUGGUCUUUGGGUUGUGGAGAAUCUGGAAGUGCAUGGAAUCCAAGGGAAGCAAUUGAGGUUGUUGUGCUAGGAUAGCACCAAACCCGUUGGAACCAACUCAAGCUAACCCACAGGAAAUUUAUCAAAUGAAAAUGCAAGAACAAAAUAUGAAAGAACACCAAGAUUUUAACGAGGUUCCUCAACAGUCAGUGUAACUGGAGUACGUCCUCGGAGCAGUAGGAGCUCACCCAAUAAUCCACUAUCAACCAAAUGGGAGUUUACAAAAUGUUGGCAAUCUCACAACCCAAAAGCCCAAUACACCCAAUAGCUCUCACACACCAAAGAAACAAAUAGGAAGAAAUAUAAUGAAUAAUUUCUUCUCUAUACAUAUAGCUCAAAGCUAUUACAACAACACCUAUUUUGGUGGAUGAUUACUAACCAAAUGAAGCAGCAGCUUCUUCUUCCUUUUGGGCUCUCUGCAGAAAAAAAACCUCUAACUUCUCUCUGCAGCUCUCUCCUCUCUUCAGCUCUCUCUUUUCUUCUCUUAACCACACAAGCAGCAAUUGCUGCUAAAUAAAUUCUUCAAGUCACCCCGUGACUUCCCACAUGGCCAAAGAAAAAAUAAUUCUCAAACAUCAUCAUUUGUCAUCAUCACAAAGUAAGAAAGAACAUCAUGAUGUCUCCCCUUUUUUUUCUUUUUAUUUGUUUAAUACAAAAGGUGAUGGCCACUUGGCCAAAAUUCAACAAUCUCCACCUUGGCCAAGUUCCGAAAACGCCAUGAUAAGCCAACCAACACAAUUGACCCAAAAAAUCACUCCCAAAUACUAGCAAGAGAACAACUCAUGCCGAGCCAAAUGCUCCAAAACUCCUACUGCUCAACGCCUUCUUUAUAUAGGCAAAAUGUGAGCCAAGUUCAAGCAAUGAACAAACUUGGCUACACCAACAACCUUAGUCAACAUAUCAGCGGGGUUGUCUUUAGUUGGAAUCUUCUGGAGAAUGAUUUCCCCUUCACCAACAAUUUCACGAACAAAGUGAUAACGCACAUCUAUGUGCUUGGUCCUCGCAUGAUGAACCUGAUACUUAGCCAAAUAAAUGGCACUCUGACUAUCACAAUGUACCUCCACCUGCUUCUGAUCAACCCCCAAAUCUCUAAUCAGCCCAUGUAUCCAAAUGGCCUCCUUUAUAGCUUCAGCAACUGCCAUAUAUUCAGCCUCUGUAGUAGACAAGGCAACAGACGACUGCAAAAUAGACCUCCAACAAACUGGUCCUUUAGCCAUAGUAAACACAUAGCCUGUAGUAGACUUCCUUCCAUCCAGAUCACCUGCAUAAUCUGAAUCAACAUAACCAACUGCAAAAUGACCAAUACCAGAGUCAUCUCUCUCAAAGCAUAAACCAACAUCUCGAGUACCAUGGAGAUAUCUCAAUAUCCACUUAGCUGCUUGCCAGUGCUCUUUACCUGGAUUAUGCAUAUAUCGACUCACCAUGCCAACUGCAUGAGCAAUAUCCGGUCUAGAGCAUACCAUUGCAUACAUCAAACUACCAACCAAAUUUGCAUAUGGUAUAUUUUUCAUUUGCAGCUUCUCUUUAUCAUUUUUAGGACAUUGUAGAGAACUCAAUUUAAAAUGAGGAGCCAAAGGGGGUACUAACCGGUUUGGUUGAAUCAUGAACUCCAAACUUCCGAAUCAACUUCUCAAGGUAUUGUCUUUGAUUCAAACUGACCAAACCCUUCUCUCUAUCUCUAGUGAUCUCCAUGCCAAGGAUCUUCUUCGCUUCACCAAGAUCCUUCAUCUCAAACUCAUUCUUCAUUUGCUUCUUCAAUUUUUCAAUCUCUUCAACAUUUUUUGAGGCAAUCAACAUAUCAUCAACAUAUAUCAAUAAAUAAAUGAAAGACCCAUCUUGCAACUUCUUGAAGUACACACAAUGAUCAUAUUGACUUCUAGAAUAAUUUUGGCCUCUCAUAAAUUUAUCAAACCUCAAAUACCAUUGCCUUGGAGAUUGCUUCAAGCCAUAAAGUGAUUUCUUCAAUUUGCAAAACAAAUUUUCCUUCCCUUUCACUAUAUACCCAUCCGGUUGACACAUAUAAAUCUCUUCAUUCAAAUCACCAUGUAGGAAAGCCGUCUUCACAUCAAGUUGCACAAGCUCAAGAUCAUAUUGUGCAACAAGAGCUAACAUAAUACGAAUUGAGGAGUGCUUCACAACUGGAGAAAAUAUUUCAUUGUAGUCAAUGCCCUCCUUUUGUGCAUACCCUUUAGCAACUAAUCUUGCUUUAAAUCUCACAUUGCUUUUCUCAUCAGCAUCUUCCUUCUUGGCAUACACCCAUUUGCAACCGAUAGCUUUCUUGCCCUUAGGCAAUUUAGCUAACUCCCACGUCUUGUUCUUCAAGAGAGAAUUCAUCUCAUCACCCAUGGCAUUGCACCACCUCUUCUUCUCCUCACUCUCAAUGGCUUCCUCGAAAUUAGAUGGAAUAUCAUCAGUGAUAAUAGGAAGAGCAAAAGAAACAUAGUCACUAUACCUAGCUGGCUUGGUAAUUUGUCUCUUUCCUCUGUUUUUGGCAAUAGACUCUUGAGGUGAAACUUGCUCUUCAACUUGAAUAGAAUCUUCAAGUUCAACUUCUUCAACAUCCUCAUGGUCUCCCACUUCUUCACUUGUAGUGGCUUCGACAUCAGCGGAAAUAGAAUUUGAAGUACCAGAGGCAACUUUCUCAAGCUCCACCUGUUGGACAUCUUUCACAUUCUUCUCAGAGACUUUGUACAUACUUUCUUCGUCAAAUGUCACAUCUCUACUAAUUACCAGUUUCUUCAUCUCUGGACACCACAACCUGUAACCUUUGACACCACUACUAAAACCAAGAAAGAUAGCCUUUUUGGCUCUAGGAUCAAGUUUAUUUUCAGUCACAUGAAAAUAAGCAGGUGAACCAAAAAUAUGGAUAUAAUCAUAAUCAGAAGAAGGUUUUCCAGUCCAUACCUCCAUUGGUGUCUUACCCUGAACAGCAGCUGAGGGUAACCGGUUGAUGAUGUGACAUGCAUAAUUAACUGCCUCUGCCCAAAAUGACUUGCUUAAACCCGAUUGAGACAACAUACAUCUAACCUUCUCAAGCAAGGUUCGAUUCAAUCUUUCUGCAACUCCAUUUUUGUUGUGGAGUUCCCCGAACACUGAAAUGUCUCACAAUUCCUUCCUCUUUGCAAACUUUAAAGAAAGGAUCGGAUGUGUAUUCACCACCAUUAUCCGAUCUCAAAAUCUUAAUCUUUCUCCCAGUCUGGUUCUCAACCAUUUUCUUCCAACUCAAGAAAAUGUUCAACACCUCACUCUUGUGCUUCAUAGUGUAGACCCAAGACCUUCUUGAAUAAUCAUCAACAAAGGUCACGAACCAAUGUCUACCACUCAAAGAGGGAGUCUUUGUAGGACCCCAAACAUCCGAAUGCACAUAAUCAAGAAUGCCCUUCGUCUGAUGUACGGCAGUACCAAACUUCACUCUAGUUUGCUUCCCCAAGACACAAUGCUCGCAGAAAUCAAGCUUACAAGUCGUGGCACCUUUUAGAAGACCUUUUUUCACAAGCCCUUGUAGAGCUUUCUCACCGGCAUGGCCUAAUCUCAUAUGCCACAGUCUAGUAGUAUCUGAAUCAGAUGUGCCCAUAUUUUCAGAAACUACAUAUGCUUCACCUGUCACAGUGCUUCCCUGCAAUAAAUACAAAUGGCCACAUCUAGGAGCUUUCAUCACAACAAGUGCACCAUAAGUAACUUUCAAUGUCUGUCCAUCUGAAUGAAACCUGAAACCCUUGGAUUCCAGAGUACCCAAAGAAAUAAGAUUUUUCUUCAAAUUCGGUACAUACCGAACACCUGUCAACUCUUUAACCAUGCCAUCAUGCAACUUCAAACGAACUGUACCAAUCCCUUUUGUUGUGCAAGGAUUGUCAUCUCCCAUGAACACAACGCCACCAUCAAACUCUUUCAAGCUUGAAAACCAAUCCUUGUGAGGAGUCAUAUGAUGAGUACAACCCGUAUCCAACACCCACUUAGUAGCACAAUCAAAUGAUGAGGAAGUGGUUAAAGCAAAAUCAAAAACAUCGGUUUCAACCUCAGCAACAUUGGCUUCAGAACUUUCUUUUCCUUUGGUCUUCAACUUAGGACAAUCUUUUCCAAUGACCCUUAUUAUGACAAAAGGCACAUUCAUCCCUUUCCAAAGGUUUUCUACCUUUAGAGUUUCCUCUAGGUCGAGACUGUGAUUUUUUCCUGCUAGAAGAUGACUUCCUCUCCGAUGAUCUACCUCUAACAAAUAAAGCUUCAGAGGUAUUAUCAUGAUUUUUAUCUCUAUGCCUCAUUUCAUAAUUCAUCAAGGCAUUUGACACAUCUUCAAAUUUCACAGUUUCUUUACCAUGCAUAAUAGUGGUAACAAAAUGCUCGUAAGAGUCCGGCAAGGAAUUCAACAAUAUUAAGGCCUUAUCUUCAUCUUUAAUAUCCUCAUCUAAAUUUAACAAGUCGGCAAUCAACUUAUUAAAAGCAUCAAGGUGUCUAAUCAUUUUUGUACCUUCUUUGUAUUGGAAGCGGUAGAGUUUUUUCUUCAAGUGUAGCCGGUUCUCUGCACUCUUCGUCAUAUACUUGUCUUCCAAUUUUUGCCACAACACACUUGCUACCGUCUCCCGCAUCACAAAAUACUUCUGAGUUUUUGCAAGGCACAACCGAAUUGAAGAGCAAGCCCACAAAUUUAAUUUCUCCCAUUCCGGCUUCGACAUAGCUUCCGGCUUCUCUCCCAAAGCGGCAAGUAGAUCUUGUUGAGCCAACACAUCUUUGACCUCACAUUGCCACAUCCCGAAGUUGUUUGUGCCAUCAAACUUUUCCACUUCGAACUUUGCAUUUUGCACCGUAGUUCUUGCAAACCCGGAGCUGCUUCCAAAAGGAUUUUCAUCUUGCCCGUCUGACAUCUUUGGCAACUAGACAGUACCCAAGAGCAACUAGUGCUCUGAUACCAAUUGUUGUGCUAGGAUAGCACCAAACCCGUUGGAACCAACUCAAGCUAACCCACAGGAAAUUUAUCAAAUGAAAAUGCAAGAACAAAAUAUGAAAGAACACCAAGAUUUUAACGAGGUUCCUCAACAGUCAGUGUAACUGGAGUACGUCCUCGGAGCAGUAGGAGCUCACCCAAUAAUCCACUAUCAACCAAAUGGGAGUUUACAAAAUGUUGGCAAUCUCACACCCAAAAGCCCAAUACACCCAAUAGCUCUCACACACCAAAGAAACAAAUAGAGGAAGAAAUAUAAUGAAUAAUUUCUUCUCUAUACAUAUAGCUCAAAGCUAUUACAACAACACCUAUUUUGGUGGAUGAUUACUAACCAAAUGAAGCAGCAGCUUCUUCUUCCUUUUGGGCUCUCUGCAGAAAAAAAACCUCUAACUUCUCUCUGCAGCUCUCUCCUCUCUUCAGCUCUCUCUUUUCUUCUCUUAACCACACAAGCAGCAAUUGCUGCUAAAUAAAUUCUUCAAGUCACCCCGUGACUUCCCACAUGGCCAAAGAAAAAAUAAUUCUCAAACAUCAUCAUUUGUCAUCAUCACAAAGUAAGAAAGAACAUCAUGAUGUCUCCCCUUUUUUUUCUUUUUAUUUGUUUAAUACAAAAGGUGAUGGCCACUUGGCCAAAAUUCAACAGAGGUAUGGAGGAAACAAGUGGGGGAGCAUCGAGUAAUGGAGGAGGAGGUAGCAUCGGGUAAUGGAGGAGGAGGUGGGGCUUUCCUUGGUUAAGUAAAAAAAGAGUGGGGCACGGGAGGUAGGUAGAGCAAAUGAUGGGUGGAGGAAACCAAACUUUUGGACAUUGAAAGUAAACUGUGACGGAUCAUGGAACUCGAAGACGGGGCUGGGGAGUAAUGGGUGGGUAAUCCGAGAUUUUGUAGGGUGUUUGCAAAGAGCAGGAGGGACGGGGAAAACGCCCUUUAAUUCGGCAAUCGUGGAGGAAGCGGAGGCUAUUCGUGUUGCGCUUGUGUUUUGCAAAAACGAAGGUUUUACGAAGGUGGAGAUUGAAUCGGAUGCCCAGGUGCUACUGUGCAUGAUCAACAAGGAGGUUGAAGUGGAUGCUGAUUUGGAAUGUCUUUUGUUUGAUAUUGACUCUUUGGUGAAGCAUAUUGAAGAUGUUAAAAUUGGGUUUGUGCCACGGAGUGGCAACUUGGCUGCUCACGCGGUUGCUUUGUUUUCUGCCAAACAUGGGGUCCCUUUGUUUGGGACGAGAUAGGCCCUGAGUUUUUAUUUAACAUUCUUGCUAUAGAUGUAAACAUUUCAGUUAGAUUAUAAUUAAAUUAUAUCCUUUGCCAAAAAAAAAAAUCAACUUUUGUUCAUUCUUCUUCAAAAUUCUCUCUUAAUUUCAUGAAAAUUGCAGAGGUAGGCGUAGCUAUAUGAGUACAAGUCGAAAUAUUAUUGCUGAUAUAAAAGAAUUCAUAUAAUUUUGAAUUUUUUUUUUUUUUGGUGAUCAUUCGAUUAAAUUUUGUUUUGCAUAUAGUAGGGUAAAGGGAGUAGAAUUUUAUCCCCUCUUUAUCUCUCUCCCUUUCCCUCCUCUCCAAUUUGAACGGUUUACAAUUAAACCAUGUCAACAUCUUUUAUUGACUUCUUUAUAGAUAGAGAAAGACAAAGGAAAAAGUGUGAGAGAAGGGGAGAAAAGAAGAGAGAAUUAGGAGUUGAGAGAAUCCUAAUGAUGGUAAAAGAACUCAUUUUUCACAUGCUAGCAUUUGGUAAUAUAUCAAUCAGCUGUUGGAUCUUGAAUCCAGAAAUCAUAUCAAAUGAGUCCUCCAGAAAUAGCCAACAUCAUCCUUGUAUUCCUUACAUUCCUAUGGUCUCUCCUCCACCUAAGCAAUGCCUCCUCAAGGCAAAGCCGAAAACUGCCUCCUGGCCCUACGACACUGCCAAUCAUUGGAAAUCUUCAUCUGCUAGGCGACCUCCCACACCGUAGCCUCCAAAACUUGGCAAAAAAAUAUGGACCUAUAAUGUCCAUGCGUCUAGGGUUCAUACCAACCAUAGUGGUCUCAUCGCCCAAAACAGCAAAGCUAUUUCUCAAAACCCACGACACCAUUUUCGCUAGCCACCCCAAACUCUAAGCCUCCAAGUACAUGUCCUAUGGCGCGAAGGCCAUGGCCUUUACUGAAUAUGGCCCAUAUUGGUGCCAUAUUCGGAAACUCUGCACGCUUCAACUUUUUGUCCCUCGAAAAUCGAGGGUUUUGCUCCUCUAAGAAGGGAGGUGGUAGGGUUGUUGGUGCAGUCCCUGAAGGUAGCUACGGAGGUGCGCGAGGUGGUGGAUGUUAGUGAGAAGGUCGGUGAGCUUGUUGAGGGAAUCAUGUAUAGGAUGGUGUUGGGGAGAAAAAAUGAUGAUAUGUUUGAUCUCAAGGGAUUAUUGAGGAAGCCGUAUUCUUAACAGGAGCUUUCAACAUUAGUGAUUAUGUGACUUUCCUUAGUCCACUUGAUCUCCAGGUAUGUUACCCUUCAUUCUUAACUACCAAACUUGUUAGAUGAAUCAAUAAUAAAACUAGGGAAAUGCUAGGAACACCGUAAAGUAGGGACAUUUAUAAUCAUUGCACGCACGCUACUAAUUCUGAAUUGCUAAGCACAAAUACAAAGUAAAGGCGUUGCAAAUAAGUGCACAUAUAUGUGACUGAUCUUAACACUACUAAAGUAUUUGGACUCUAUUAUUUAGAUGACGUAUUUCGAUGGAUCCAUUAACUGGAAUAGAAGUAGUGUCAACAAAUAAAGUGAACGAGAUUAAUUCAUAAUUUAGGGUAACCGAGUUUGUUUGGAUGUACUUUUAAAAUGACUGAAAGUGUUUUUAGUGAAAAUAUUUUUAGAAACAAUCCUUAAUAAAAAUGCUAGCAAAUCUUGGAAAAUCACUUAAAGUGCUUUAUGGAAGAAGCACAUAUUACUAGUGUUUCUUAUAGAAAGCACUUCAAAUGCUUUUGGAAUCCAAAAAUAUUUUUUUCUAGAAACGCUUUCAGUCAUUUUAAAAGCACAUUCAAACUUAGCCAAUAACUAGUUCACAUUUGUACAAAUUAAUCUGAGAGGAAUAGCUGUUUCCGUUAGCCAGCUCACUUAUCGUCUUUUUGCUGGUGAUAUGAUUCACAAAGUCACAGCAUCCACAAAUUAUAAAUGCAAAAUCAUAAGAUUCAUAUCGUAUGGUCCAUUCCAUAGCCUGCCGACGAUAAACUAUCUCCUAAUUCGAGAUGUAAAAACAUAUUUACAUCUUAUUUUAUAGUUUCAAGAGGUGUAGACAGGAGUUCUAUGCUAAUGAGAGCGAUGUAAAUUUGAGUUUUUAUUUAAUUUUCUCUCUUAUAUAGAGUAGCAGAGUUCACCAUAAAAAAUAUAUAUAUACAUCCAUAUAUAUAUAUGUAUAUAUAUUUAAGUUCUUAUUUAUAUUUUCCAGUCAAUAUUUUACAUCUUUCUGAACAACUUAAAGUUUCAAAGACAAAUUGCUCCCUAUCUUAUGCAUUUGGUUGCAAUUGCCAUCCGGGAUAUUAUUACAAUAGCAAUGGAUUUAAUGCACAAUUCAUUAUUUUAGGAACCUUAAUUUCUGCAAUCAACUAUACAAAUUUAAAAUAUAUCCAACAGGCUCUUUAAGGGGAGAUCUCCAUUUAAAAAUAAAUAAAUAAAUAGUUGUAGGGCUCACUCCACAUCAAACUUCAAUAAUAAGAAAUGUCUAUAUUUUGUCUCUAUUUAUAGGUCAUUCUUGCAAAAAAUCAAUUCAAUCCGAAAUGAUUUAGUCACUUGAUUGUCACGAUGAAAUUUUAAUGUUUCUUAUAACAUAAUGUUCAUCAAUGUCUUGGAGCUCAAUUAGAUUAAUUGAUGCCUCAUACAUUUUUUAUUUGCCAAAUUUUGCAAUGAUGAUUUAAUUGGUACAACUUGAAAAUAGACAAUUCGGAUAUCAUUGAAGUUCAAUGUAGUAUAGACUCCACAACUAAUCUAAAAAAAUGAGAAUCCCUUCCCUUAAAACCAUACGUUACAUGUAUGUGUUUUUUUUUUUUUCUUCUUAUCCUUCAUAAAGGAUGUAAUACUAAUAAUAAGGAUUUUAUUUUACCAUUGAAAAUGAGGAUUUUACAAGAAUUCAAAAGAUAAAAUGCUAGUAAAUAUGUAGAUAUAGAUUUUGAGGCCUUACGUAGUGGGUAAAAUUGAGUUGAAGUCCAGUUUUAUAAGAAUCAAACUCCUAGGACGGAAAAUCUGCAUUUUACAUGAGUGACUCCGAUUAUUGAAUUUAAUAAUUACUAAUGACUUUAAUUUCAAUAAAUGAUCAACCACUUGACAGAGAAAAUAGAGAUUAAUACAUAAAACGAGGAAAAAAAAGUCCAAUAAUAUUAUAGGAAUCAAACUCAAUGUACAUGAUUAUAUAUAGGAAUGAAACCAAACAAAACUAACGUUUCUCUCUGUAAUUGUUACUUUCAUCUCAGAAAAAAAGGUUGCACAUGAUCCCUUAUACGGCCAUGUACCACAUGUUAGCAUGAACAUAUACCAAAACAUGUAAUUAUGAAUCACAGUGAUCAAAAUACAAAUCCUAUUCAUAAGCCUGUAGCACAGAGAAGAAACUUACCCGUAGUCGAACUUGAAGAAGCAGCCAUUCCAGGUUAUGCAACAAACAAACAGUGCACCUUCUCCUCUCUCCAGUAAUCAGUUUGCUCUAACUAAUAAUAGGUCUUAGUUCGAUGAUAGAGCGUGUCAACUGUGAGAGCAGAGGCCACUAUAUAUACACAACAUAAUCCUCGCCAAAUCUCAUAAGAAUUCCCCUAUUAGAAUCCUUAUAGACAACCAAAUUAGUGUUUCAGCAUAACGUGGAUUACAAAUCCAUUCUCAAUAAGACUUCUUAUCCAAACUUGAAACAAAUAACUUAAUCCACGAAUUCAUACUCAUGCUCAUAUUCUAACAAGAGUGUCACCGUAUGUGCCUAUCCUCACCCAAAAGAUACUCCAAAAAUACAAGAUGUAAUAGCUUUAUAUAUGCAUUCAUGUCUUGUCCAUUUCAUUGUCUUAUAAAAAUGACAGCCACAGUACUCAACUAGAAGUACAUAUGAUUGAUUGAUUGUAUGGAAUCUUAACUAUUUCUUCCACUUAGGGAUUGACCAAGCGCAUGAAGAGAGUUAGCAAGACUGUCGACCAACUACUCGAAAAGAUAAUUCAGAAUCAUGAACAAGUUUCCAGAAGUGAACAGGUACACGGCAAUCAUCAUAAGGACUUUGUAGACGUGCUGUUUUCAUUAAUCAACCAACCAUUAAACCCCAACGAUGAGGAAGUCUACAUGCUCGAACGAACAAAUGCCAAAGCCAUUUUACUCGACAUAAUUGCGGGUGCCUUUGACACCUCAGCCACGGCGAUUGUCUGGACCCUGGCCGAACUCUUGAGACUGUUGUGCGGAAGCGUCAAAUAUGAAACCAAUAAGCUACAACGGCAAAAUAUGACAAGACAAAUAAUCCAAAAGACACAAGGAUUUAUACUGGUUCGGCGUAAGCCUACAUCCAGUUCCGAGACGGCGAGGAAAUUCCACUAAUAUCAAAAGAAGAUUACAAAUAGAGUUUUAACUCUCAAACCCAAAUCCCACAUACAACCAAUAGCUCUCACUCUCACAAAGAACAAAUGGAGAAGAUGGAAACAUAUACCAAAUUCCUUCUCUCCCAAAAGCCACAAAAUGUAGCACAAAUAUCUUUGAUUGAGUGAUCACUAACAAAAGGGGAUUACAAACAAAUGGGGGGAGAGCUGCAGCUCUUAUUCAAAUGGGAGAGCCGAAUGCUCUCCCUGUGCUCUCUCAUCUGCCGCUCCCCUCACUUCCAAAGGCAUAAUCGAAUACCUUUUAUAACCAAAAUGAGCUCUCCAUUUCUUCUCUUCUACCCGAAACAAAAAACAAUAAUUAUGCUUAUUAAAAAACCACAAAAGAAGAAAGCAUAAUCAUGAUGCCUCCUCAUCAUGAUGUUUCCUCAUCAUUUUGGUUUCUUUUUCUUUUCUUUUGUUUGUUUAUUAGCCGAAAGGUGAUGGCCACUUGGCCACAAUUCAACAGAGACACCCGAAAGUAAUAAAACAUUUCCAAGAAGAGCUCCAGAGUGUGAUCGGGAUGGAUCGAAUGAUGAAAGAAAGUGAUUUGCCAAAGCUGGAUUACUUGAGCAUGCUGGUCAAGGAGAGCUUAAUGUAAGACUCAUGUUGAGUUGUCAAUUAUUAUGAAUAGAAUUACUUGAAAGACAAAUAACUUGAUCUUCAAGAUAUUUGGCUUUUAAUGUGAUUCAAUAUUGGUUGGCAAGAAUCAUGGAACCAAGAUAUAUUUAGUUGACUAAUUGAAACCCUAAUUAAGUAGGACAUAUUGUACAUGCCUUGGUGGGACAACAUUAAGAAUAAAUGGUGAUUUGGUGUAUUCCUCUAAUUACUAUAAUAGGCGGAAUUAGGGGAACCCUAAUCACUAUAUUAAGGGUGUCCCUGCUUUCACAAAAAACACGUUCCAUUCCGAGCAAACCCUAUUAUUGCUGGAACACUUCCGCUUGUUGAAAGUAGAAGAUUCCUUUGUCAUCCACAAGAGCCAUGUCUUCCAUAUUCCAAAGAUAAGUAAAUUGUAAUUGAUUUAUUGUAAUUAUUUUGGUUUAUCAAAUCUGUGAUCCUAAUCUCUUGUUGUUGUUCUUAUGAUUUCAGAAAUAUCUUACACUUAAGGCUACACCCAGUUGCCUCAUUACUAGUCCCUCGUGAAUUCAUGGAGGACAUUACAGUUGAUGGAUAUAACAUACCCAAUAAAUCAAGAGCCUUUAUCAAUAUUUGGACCAUUGGGAGGGAUCCAAGUGUAUGGUCAGAUAAUGUGGAAGAAUUCUACCCUGAAAGGUUAAUGAAUAAUAACGUUGACCUACUUGGACAUGACUUCCAGCUCAGGUCUGGUCGAAGAGGGUGCCCUGCUAUGUAAUUAGGGUUAACCACAGUUCGUCUUGUUCUGGGAAACUUGUUGCACUGCUUCAACUGGGAGCUCCCUAGUGGAAUGCUACCUAAAGACUUGGACAUGGCUGAGAAAUUCGGCUUAUCGUUGUCGAAAGCCAAACACUUGCUUGCCAUACCGAC
rnacentral:lncRNA from 1 species